ACGGUGUCGUUUCGUAUCAAGAAGAGAAAAAGAAGAAGAGACGAAUGAAGAUGAAAGAGAUGAAGAAAUCGGCGGAAGAGGAGAAGAACGGACGGCCAAAAACCGAGUCGUGCGUCAGUGAAGCCGUGAAGAAAGAUUAGUCGUGCUCUCUCUCGGUUUUUUUUAGGGUUGAUUUAAAAAUUAAUUAAAAUUAAUUCCCAAAAAAAAUCGAAACACAGUGUCAAAAGGAGGCGUCGAACCCGUGACUUGAGAGGUUUUGGGCCGACUCAACCUUAUGGUCACUCAGGCCCUAAAAUAUCUACACGGAAGCAUCUGAUUAUUUGUCUUCCAUAAUCGCAAUUUAGAUCGAAAUCCUCUCGGCCAAAUCAGCCGCACCAAACCUCACGCGCCACCGCCAUGGCGAGUCCACCGACGCUACCUGUCUCCAAUCAACAAGCCGUUCAAUCUCAGCCGCCAAUCAACACUCCUGCCUUCCGUACCUUCUUCUCACGCCUCUCCACCUCGAUCCGCGAUGGCUUAUCACAGCGCCGCCCAUGGACGGAGCUCGUCGAUCGGAGCUCCAUGGCGCGACCUGAGUCUCUCACCGAUGCCUUGUCCCGGAUCAGGAAGAAUCUCGCCUACUUCAAGGUUAACUAUGUCGCCAUCGUCUCCCUCGUGCUCGCCUUUUCCCUUUUCUCCCAUCCUCUCUCCCUCCUUGUCCUCGUCGGUCUCCUCGGCGGGUGGAUGUUCCUUUACCUCUUCCGUCCGUCAGAUCAGCCACUCGUCGUCUUCGGCCGCACUUUCUCUGAUCGAGAGACUCUCCUUGCUCUUGUCUUGUCGACGAUCGUCGUUGUGUUUAUGACGAGCGUCGGAUCUCUCUUAACCUCCGCAUUGAUGAUUGGCGUCGCGAUUGUUUGCUUACACGGUGCGUUUGUGGUUCCAGAUGAUCUCUUCAUGGACGAUCAAGAGCCUGCCAACGCCGGAUUACUCUCCUUCCUUGGUGGUUCUGCUACAUCGGCUGCUUCAGCUGUCGCAGGGAGAGUUUAACUCUAUCAACAGAGCUGGAUUCGAUUCAGAUCUAGAAGAAGAACAUGAUCGUUUAUUCAUAGUGGCUUUUAAAUGGAAUCGUAAGCCAGUUACUUAGAGAACCAAGUGAUAUUUUUUUUGUUGACAAAUUGUUGUUUCAUCUUCUAAUUUUGGGAUUUGUGUAAUGAUGUUAAAGCACAUUGAAUCAUCUUUAAUGUUGAUUAUAUUUUGCUCAUUGGUUUCUUUUAUGAUUUGGAUUGAGAAUCUUCCAAGUUUUGUGGUUGGAACAGAUUUGAUUUUGCUUGCUUUUUUUCUUUCCUGAAGUUGAAUCAAAUAGCUAUGAAAUUCAUGAUAUGGUGAUCCAAGUCGGAUUUGACAAUAUUGAGAAUGUGUGUCCAGAUACCAAUAGAGCUAAUACUGGUUUUGAUAGUCUUGCUUUUAUCUCAAUACACACGAGAAGUUCUAUCAUCGUCGUCCACAUAGUUGAAACAAAGAAAUUAGGUGAAUAAUUAGCUAAGAGCAAGAAAGCAAAAGUAAGAAGAAAAAGGUGUGGUAAAUGAUUUAUGUUACAUAGACGCUUUUCCCGUAAACUAAAAUUCAAAAGAAGUGAAAAAUUUUCCGGUGAUCUGAUUGGAAUCGGUGGCGAGUAAGGCAGUUUUAGCUGUCACAAAUUAAGAUCAGAGUUGGUGUCCAAGGUCAAUCGUUUGUGUAUUACAAACAUGGGAUUUUACAACGUAAAUUUCUGCUACUGAAAAUAUGGGAAUUUGGUAUAGUUUUGGGCCUUUUGGCAUUCAGUUUCUGGGGGUCUUGGAAGAUUUCAGGGAGAAUCCAAUUUGUCUCGCUUAAAAAAAAGCCCAUCUUGUUUCAAUUCUUCCAAUUUUAUUCAAGAUGUGUUGAGAGACUUGUGAUAUCUUUUACAGUUUAUGGCAUAUCAGUUGAGUUUAAGGUAAGAAUUAUCUCCAAGAUUGUCUUCUCGCAACCAUAUUGUGUAAACCAUAGGAAUGAAGUGUCAUUAUGGAAUUGACAUGUUUUUGAAAGUAAGUGAUAGGCUUUGGUAGAUUUCAAAAAGCAUUAUUAAGUGUUUGUAUUCGAAAAUUGAAGUUCAAAAGCUCCAUUAGAUCCAACAGUACACGUGUACCAAUCAGCAACUAUCUUAAGUUACCAGACCCAAAAUAAAAAGGCAAAGAUAGAUCAACGUCAACAUUUAACCUCGUACGGCACAACACUUCAUUUUUUUUUACAGGGGAAAGUGUCGCUUUCAAGUUUCAAAGUCGUGUGUCUUCUUUCUAAACUAUACUUUGUAAAUAAUUAUCCUUUGGCACACAGCACUCGGCUUAGCAGAUCUAGCGAUCUAUGUAUCAUGGGACCUACAAAUAUAGCCGUUAGGAGGAGAAUUGAAGGAGCGGUUUGUUGUCCAUUGGUAUAAGCUCCGGCGCAUUAACCGAAGAUGGUCUGCAAAUUAAUGUUGUCUUCUUUAUUUAUUUUUACUUUAUUCAGACGAACAAAUACUUUAAUAUCUUCUACUCAGAUUUGGAAUUAGUAAUGCCUAAUAUAUAAUUCACAUGCAAAUAAUUACAAGACAACAAUCGAAUAGAUCUGAGUAUAUUAUUAGCUCAAUUUGAAUUUUGAACCAUGAUAUAAUAAUACCUAUGCCAAAAUUGAAACUAUAUUUAAAAAUAAGAAUUAUCAAUCUUGGUCAGAACCAACAUUUUGGUACUGUGUCUGUAUUCAAUACUUUUUUAGAUUAAUAAAACCGUAACAAUAUUAUCAAAUACUAGUAAAUACAAAUUAGCAAUGAUAUUUUGUACUAACACGGUUAAACAAAAUGACAUGAGCGAGAUCAACUCAACGAACAAAACAAAGUGUUCAACGCAAUUAAUUAAGAAAGUAAAUAAAAUGAAACUAGCCGUUGGAGCUCAUUUAGUAUUAGGCGAGACAGAGAGCCUCUGCUCCACCCCCAACCUCUUAUUACCAUCACCUGAUCUUUGUCUCCUCCUCUCUUUCUCUCUCUCACUAGAAAAUAUAAAGCACUCAAAGAUUCUCUCUCUCUCUCUCUAAGAUGGUCACGUGCUGUGUUCUUUUCCAACGAAACCCAUCUCUCACUUUACAAAACUCUUUCAAAUCCAAAAAAAUUCCCUGUUCCAUCCUCUUCAAAACUACCCAUUAAGAAAACUCAUUCAACCUUUCUUCUCUCUACUUCAUUCUCCAUGGAGUUUACUACCCAAAACCAAGCUUUCUUCUGUUUCACUCCCCUGCAUUUGAUCAACACUGUCAUUGAUCAAUCUCGGGCUUCACUUCGAAGCCGCUUUCUCCUUCACUUAACUGUUUUCCUCCUCUUCUUCGUCUCUCCCGGCACGAGCCAAGCUUGGGACGGUGUAGUGAUCACACAAGCUGAUUACCAAGGCCUUCAAGCGAUUAGACAAGAGCUGAUUGAUCCGAGAGGCUUCUUGAGAAGCUGGAACGGUUCUGGGUUCAGUGCAUGCUCUGGAGGCUGGGCUGGAAUCAAAUGUGCUCAAGGUCAGGUCAUUGUGAUUCAACUCCCAUGGAAGAGUCUUGGAGGUAGAAUCUCUGAGAAAAUCGGACAGCUUCAAGCUCUUCGAAAGCUUAGUCUUCAUGACAACAACCUCGGUGGCUCCGUUCCAUUGUCUUUAGGACUCAUUCCUAAUCUCAGAGGAGUCCAGCUUUUCAACAAUCGUCUCUCUGGCUCGAUCCCUGCUUCUAUCGGUGUUUCUCGUUUCCUGCAAACGCUUGAUCUCAGCAAUAACUUGCUCUCUGAAGUUAUUCCACCGAAUCUUGCUGAUUCUUCUAAGCUUCUUAGGCUUAAUCUCAGCUUCAAUUCACUCUCUGGUCAAAUCCCAGUGAGUCUCACUCGUUCUUCUUCUCUUCAGUUUCUUGCUCUUGACCAUAACAACCUCUCUGGUUCAAUCUUAGACACUUGGGGUCAUAACACUUCUCCUCAUCUCCGUGUCUUAUCUCUUGAUCACAACUCUCUUUCUGGUCCAUUCCCAUUUUCAAUCUGCAACUUAAUUCAGCUACAAGACUUUUCCUUUAGUCAUAACAAGAUUGGUGGAACCCUACCUUCCGAGUUAAGCAAACUCACUCAGCUUAGAACAAUGGAUAUUAGCAGUAACAGUGUUAGUGGCCAGAUUCCAGAAACUCUAGGGAGCAUUUCUUCUCUUGUACAUCUGGAUUUGUCUCAAAACAAACUUACCGGAGAGAUUCCUGUUUUGAUUUCUGAUCUGAAAGCCCUUACCUUCUUCAAUGUCUCUUAUAACAACUUAUCUGGGCCUGUUCCUUCUCUCUUGUCCCAAAAGUUCAAUUCCACCUCUUUUGUCGGAAACUUGCAGCUUUGUGGAUACAGCACUUCCACGCUGUGUCCUACUACACAACCUCCUUCACCAUCUCCCAGAAAAUCAUCCCACAGGAAUCUGAGUACCAAAGACAUCAUCCUCAUUGCUUCUGGAGCACUCCUCAUAGUUCUGCUUAUCCUUGUAUUUGUUCUCCUCUGUUGCUUACUGAGGAAGAAACCUGACAAAACCAAAGCCAAGGGCAGCGAGGCUGGACCCGGAGCUGCAGCCUCAAAGACCGAGAAAGGAAGGGAAGCUGAAGCUGGAGGUGAAACCGGAGGGAAACUGGUUCAUUUUGAUGGACCAAUGGCGUUUACUGCUGAUGAUCUACUGUGUGCAACAGCAGAGAUUAUGGGGAAAAGCACUUAUGGAACAGUUUACAAAGCUACACUUGAAGAUGGAAGUCAAGUUGCAGUUAAGAGAUUGAGAGAGAAGAUCACCAAAAGCCAGAAAGAGUUCGAGAACGAGAUUAAUGUAUUGGGAAGAAUUCGGCAUCCGAAUCUCCUUGCCCUUAGGGCUUAUUACUUAGGCCCCAAGGGAGAGAAGCUUGUGGUCUUCGAUUACAUGCCUAGGGGAAGUCUUGCCACAUUCCUCCAUGGUAAGUUUGAUACUAUUCUAAGAAAUUACUAUUUCUAACGCUUGUGUGGGAAAUGUAACAUUCUAAUUAACUGAUAUGUUCAUGUUUUGAAAUUGCAGCAAGAGGAGCAGAUGUUCAUAUCAAUUGGCCUACAAGGAUGAGCUUAAUAAAAGGAAUGGCUCGUGGUUUGUUCUACCUUCACACGCACGCAAACCUCAUCCAUGGAAACUUAACAUCAAGCAACGUACUUUUGGAUGAAAACAUCAAUGCGAAGAUCUCAGAUUACGGUCUAUCCAGGCUGAUGACAACAGCAGCAGGAUCAAGCGUGAUUGCAACAGCUGGUGCGUUAGGUUACAGAGCACCUGAGCUCUCCAAGCUGAAGAAAGCCAACACGAAAACGGAUGUGUAUAGCCUCGGUGUGAUCAUAUUGGAGCUUUUGACUGGUAAAUCUCCGAGCGAGGCUUUAAACGGUGUGGAUUUGCCUCAAUGGGUUGCUACUGCGGUUAAAGAAGAAUGGACUAAUGAGGUUUUUGAUUUGGAGCUGUUGAAUGAUGUGAACACUAUGGGUGAUGAGAUUCUAAAUACACUGAAACUGGCGUUGCAUUGUGUUGAUCCUACACCAUCAACAAGACCUGAAGCUCAACAAGUAAUGACACAACUUGGAGAGAUUAGACCUGAAGAGACGUCAGCAACUACAUCUGAACCGUUGAUUGAUAUUCCUGAAGCUUCUGCUUCCACAAGUCGAUAGAAAAGAGUGGAGAUUUUUGGUAGUUGGUAGUAGACUUUUUAUGCAAUUCUUUGAUUCUUCAAGCAGUUUUUAUUUCUCUUCCGUUCAUUUUUGUAGUGUUCUUAACUAUUUCAUCAUCAGAUUGUGUUUGUAAAUACUGUAAACUGGUUAUGCUUCUUUUUUAUUCGAGCUUGUGAGAAAAAAUUGAGGGCAGAACGUAAAUUGAGUCUGUAGAAGGCACUAAAUAAGAUAUGAGAGAAAUUCACCAUCUUAUGUAAAAAUCUAGUUAUGCUUUUCAAAUGGGCGCACAAUAUAAUGAAAACGAGAGAAAUGUGGAGAAGAUUGGAAUAUAUAAAAACUAAUUUCCAAAUCAUUAAUAUGGCCUACAAAGAGAGAAUGUAGAGCUGCUUAAUCCUAAGUUAAGAAGCACAAAGUGCUAAGAUACUACAGGUGUCUACAAUAUAUUCUAAAACUAUAUUUUGAAUUGAAGAUACAAUUUUCUGAUAGAAAAAGUUCUAUAUUUGAGUUAAAUGUAAUUUUAAGACAACAAAUAAGAAGACAGAGUGUACAUUUGUUUGUUUUAAAUCCAAUACAUUUUUAUAACUAGUAUAUAUUUAAAAUUUGAUGUAAGAAAUUAUACUUCAAAAAAAAAAAUAUAUAUAUAUAUCUAUGUACUGUUGAGUUUAUCCUUUUUCAUUAGCAAGAAAAAUUGUCUUUUGCUUCUUCUUUCUUUCCUUUUUUUUUCAGAAGAAUCCGAUAAGGUAAAUGAGAAACGUCAAAAAAUCAAGAGGGGCCAAUAGUAACCCAAAAUGAAAAAUAUCUUCCAGCUAAGCAACAGUACCACAAGCCAACCACGCGCCUGAAUCCAACUCUCAAUCUCGUCCAUCCACGUGUCAUUAAUCGACAGCCUCAUCAUCCAUAUAACCUCACUUUAUAUUCCCUCUUCCGCCACCAUUCUCGCCUCACAAAAAACCCUUUCUCCUCCCAUUUUCGUUGCAGAGAGAUAAAGAAAAAAUCUGAGAAGCAAAACCAAAAAAUUUACAGGAAACAAAAAAAAAAAUGCUUCUCAAAACCGCUUCUGCUUUCUCUCUCUUGAACAUUCAUGGAGAAAAGAAAGACAUCUCUCCUCUCUUCUCUUCCAUUUCGUCCCCGACUGAUUUCUCCUUGAGUCUUCCCGUUUCUUCGGGAAAAUCCGGAAAUCUCUCCUUCUCGGUUCGUGCUUCUAAGGCUUCCACCACCCAAACGUUAAGCGGCGUCGUUUUCGAACCGUUUGAGGAGGUGAAGAAGGAACUCGAUCUCGUCCCUUCGGCUCCUCAGCACUCGCUUGCUCGACAUUUGUACUCCCCUGAGUGCGAAGCCGCCGUGAAUGAGCAGAUCAAGUAAGUUUUUUCGUGUUGGAUUGAAACUUCUGGUGUUGUAAAUCUGUCGAUUAACUGAUUUCUCGAUUGAAUCCUAUGUGGAGAUUGGAUUUUUUUGGGUAUCCUAUGAAUCUGGAUUUCGUCAAUGGUUUCUUAAUUUCUCUGCUGCAGCGUGGAAUACAAUGUGUCUUAUGUGUAUCACGCGUUGUAUGCUUAUUUCGACCGUGAUAACGUUGCUCUCAAAGGACUUGCCAAGUGAGUUUUUUCUACAAAACUUUGGAGUUUAUUCAAUAAAUUUCGUUCUCUGGGUGUCAAUUAAUCAGUUGUUUUGAUGUCUUGCUAUCAGGUUUUUCAAGGAAUCGAGCGUGGAAGAACGAGACCACGCUGAGAUGUUGAUGGAGUAUCAGGUCUUUGGCCAAUGAUUUCAAUUUUGUUUCAUUCAUAAGCCUUUAUCAUUUGAGCUAAGUUUCUAACACCGUUUCAAUUUGGUUUUCGUGAUCUGCAGAACAAACGUGGUGGGAAGGUUAAGUUACAGCCCAUGGUGAUGCCUCAAUCUGAGUUUGAUCACGCUGAGAAAGGAGAUGCUCUGUAUGGUAAAGCUCAUUUUCAUUUCUGAGAUUUUUGGAUUGAGGAAUUCAAAGUAUAAAAUUUCAGUAGUUUCAUAUCUGUGCCUAGUCAUAGAAUUUGGAGAAACUUGUUAGAAUUGACAUCAAUAUUAGCGUUAAAAAGGGAACUUUUUGGAGAGGUUGUGGGUUUUCAUCAGCAUGAGACAUAGUGAUAAGCGAUGCUUCCGUCAAGUUCUCACUGAGUUGGAAAUCUUAAUGAUGUUCUUUGUUGUUGCAGCCAUGGAGCUGGCUCUAUCAUUGGAGAAACUGGUCAAUGAAAAGCUCCUAAACGUGCACAGCGUAAGACCAUCACUCCUUGGAAUCCAAUUCUUGUUUAUGGCAUUCAAGUCAUUUAGUAUAAUGUCCCAAGAAAUACUCUCUUAAUACAAUUUGCAUUUGAAUAAUGUGGGCAAACAGGUGGCUUCGAAGAACGAUGAUGUCCAGUUGGCAGAUUUUAUUGAGAGCGAGUUUUUGAACGAACAGGUAAACAAAAAGAACACGAUCUAUGUUAGUGGCAAAGAUAAUGUGGAUGAUCUAAAGCCUGUCAAAGAGGGAAUCUAAUGAACUUUAAAAAAAUAAUAUUACUUUCGCAGGUUGAAGCAAUUAAGAAAAUCUCAGAAUAUGUCUCUCAACUCAGAAGACUCGGCAAAGGACAUGGUAGCCAUUUUGUCUUCUCAAUUUUUAAAAUGAUAAAACCUCAUUUCGAAUAGUUCAUGCCUCACACUUUGUUUAUAUGUGUUCAGGAACAUGGCAUUUCGAUCAGGAGCUUCUGGAAAAUGCUGCUGCUUAAUCUGUUCUGGUUGUACUCUCUUAUAAACAGCUUUGGCUGUAAUCUCUUAUAAACUACUGGUUAUUCUGUUUUGGUUGUAAUCUCUUAUAAACUGUUGCGUAAUCUAUUUUGAUUGAGGAAUAACAGCCUUUAGUUUUUGUUUUUAGUCCUGGUUUACAUUGAAUCAAAAUCUCUUAUGAAAGUUUGUAUAUUGGUUUACAUUUGAACGUUCUUAACCUUCACACUCAACCAAAAGAAUCUAUAAUUAAGCAAUUUUUCACAUGAAACAAGUGCUGAGAAAACAAAAGCUAUAUGGGCAAUUUUGAUUGCUUUAGUUUAGCCUCUUUUAAUAUUUAAACAUCGACCACUUAACUGAAUAAAUGUACACAAUUGUAAGUUCGUGUACAUUUUGACCAAUUUCUUAAUCUUUCUUCAUUCUUUAUAGCAUUUAUUUCAGGACCAUGAACUGCAGGCUUUAGGAAAUCUACAGAGAGAAUUGAAAACACAUAAGAGAAUUGUCAGUAACCGGAUAAUAGAAUAAAGAUCUCCGGUUUGGGUUUAGACCAACUUUCACCAAAAUUCUCAUCCACUAACUUGCACAUCAAAUAAUACACAAUCAUGGCUUCAUAAAGAAAAUAGAUACGUUAUAUAUAUAUAUAGAUUAUUUCCCUAUCUCACAUCACGUCGCAGCAAGUAAUAACAAAACACGUGUCACAUAUAUAUUUAUUUAUUGCGAGUCUUGUUUACUAAUUUUAGCUCGUUAUUACACAUAAAUACAAUAUCUUCUCUUUUCUAAAGAGAUGGAUCAGUGAAAACGGAAGAAAGAAAUGACGAGGAACAUCUUCCAAAGUCGGAAAUUCUCAGGCCUCUGUGUUCUCUCAAUCUUGCUCGUAUCAGUCACAAUCAUCCUCCUAACCAAUGACACAAUCGAUCUCUUCCCUUACUUGUCUCUCUCUUAUCUCCGUCGAUCUUCUCUCUCCGACAUCAUCCCAGCUUUCACGCCAACCUCGAGUCCCACCAAUAACUCUUCGUCGUCUAUGAAAUCACCGGUUUCUCAGAACCGAGUCGUUGAUGAUGAUCAAGGUUUGGAAUUGGAUUGGCUUAAUAAAGAUAACAAAUGGAAUGUGAGUUUGAAGGUGGAUUGGAAGAGAUGCGAGAGUCCUGAUUACAUGCCAUGUUUGGAUAACAUAAAAGCCAUCAAGAAACUCAAGUCGAAGAGGAACAUGGAACACAGAGAGAGACAUUGUCCCGAGUCUGCACCUAAAUGUCUCGUUCCUUUACCAAAACGCUACAAGGUUCCUCUUCCUUGGCCUCAGAGCAGGGACAUGGUGAGAGUCUCGUUUCUAUUUUUUCGGUAAGAUCUUUUCUUGAAGAUUUUGUGAUUGCUUCUUUGGUUUCUUUGUUGGUUCUUGCAAACAUUCAGGUUUUCUUGGUUCUUGUUUUUGCUGAUUAGAUUAGAUUAGUACCUCUGCAAUUGCUCUGCUUUUUAAAAUUCUUGUUCUUGCAGAUUUGGUAUGAUAAUGCCCCUCACCCGAAGCUUGUAGAAUACAAGAAAGAUCAGAAUUGGAUUCGUAAAUCCGGAACUUUCUUUGUCUUCCCUGGAGGUGGAACUCAAUUCAAAGACGGUGUUAUUCACUACAUCAACUACAUACAAAAGGUAUACAAAUUAUACAUAAACCAAACAUUGAUUUUGUGUCCUCUGUUCUUGAUUUUCCGAUUUACGUUUUACAGACGUUACCUGUUCUUGAAUGGGGGAAGAAAGUACGAGUGGUUCUUGAUGUUGGUUGUGGUGUGGCUAGCUUUGGUGGGACUUUACUAGAUAAAAAUGUGAUCACAAUGUCAUUUGCUCCUAAAGACGAACACGAAGCUCAGAUUCAAUUCGCAUUAGAACGAGGAAUUCCCGCUACUCUAGCUGUUAUUGGAACUCAAAAGCUUCCUUUUCCUGACAAUUCUUACGACGUUAUCCAUUGCGCAAGAUGCAGAGUCCAUUGGCACGGAUACGGUUUGAUUACAAUCGAUUCAGUUAUGAUUGAUCUCAGAAAGUUUCAUGCUUUUGUUAAUACUGUCAUGGAUUCGGCUAUGUUGCAGGUGGUAAACCGCUUUUGGAACUUAACCGGAUUCUAAGGCCUGGAGGGUUUUUUGUUUGGUCAGCUACGCCUGUUUAUCAACACGAUGAAGGGCAUCGCAACGUUUGGAAAAGUUAGUAUAAACUGUUUUUAACUUCUCCUGAUUAUGUUAAUUAGCAUACUUAGUUUUUGUGAUUUUUUUUCUUGUAGCUAUGGAGUCUUUGACUACAUCAAUGUGUUGGAAAGUUGUGGCUAGAACUCGUUUCACAAAAGUUGGAUUCGUGAUUUACCAGAAACCAAACUCAGAGUCUUGCUAUGAAUCGCGUAAGGAUAAUGAUCCGCCUCUCUGCACCAAAGAAGAAACAAAGAAAAACAGCUCAUUGUAAAUAACAUUUUAUCUUCUUCUUGUUUCAUUUCAACAAAAACAGAUUUUUGAUGACUCUUGACGAAUACUGCUUUUUCCAAUCAUAGGUACACUCCUCUGCUUAGCUGUCUACCGAAAGUACCGGUGGGUCCAACCGGAAAAUGGCCUUCUCGUUGGCCUGAAAGGUUAACCGAUAGGCCGGUUAGCCUCAUAACAGAACAGAUCAGUGAAGAGAGUUAUAGAGAAGACACAAGACUCUGGUCUGGAAUCGUAUCAGAUGUCUAUCUAAACGGUUUAGCUAUAAAUUGGACCAGGAUUCACAAUGUUAUGGACAUGAAUGCUGGUUAUGGAGGGUGAGGAAAAUUCUUCAACAUAGUUAGUUACUUUAGAAAAUACUCUUUCUAUUUCUUUACCUUUGGUUCUUGAUUUUGCUUUCAGAUUUGCAGCUGCUCUUAUAAACAGACCUCUCUGGGUGAUGAAUGUGAUUCCUGUGGAAGGCAAAGACACAUUAUCGAUGAUUUUUGAUAGAGGUUUGAUUGGAAUUUACCAUGAUUGGUGUGAGUCUUUCAACACGUACCCAAGAUCAUAUGAUCUCUUGCACUCUAGUUUCCUUCUCACCAAUCUUUCUAAAAGGUAACAUUUAUGAUUCGUGGACUGAACUGCAAAACUACAUGCUGUUUUUGAUUUUUUUUUUUUUUAACUUAUGGUUUUUUUAUCUUUAUUUUAUCAGGUGUGAUUUAUUGGAGGUGGUAGUGGAAAUAGACAGAAUAGUAAGACCAGGAGGGUAUCUUGUGGUGCAAGACACCGUUGAAAUGCUAAAGAAGCUUAACCCUAUUCUUUUAUCUCUCCGAUGGUCAACGAAUGUGUACAAAGGCAAGUUCCUUGUUGGCCUGAAGUCGUUGUGGCGUCCGUAAACCCAAUAUCCAUCCUCUUUAUAAAAAUGUUUAAAGGGGUUUUUGAUUAGAGAUGUUGAAUGUUGUUUUUUUGGUGUGGAUUUUCUGAUUUUUUAUUACUCUUUUUUUUUUUUUUAGAAAGUACUAGGGAAUCGAAUUAUACUCGAUACUAUUUUUGAUAAUGUCUUUAAAUAAAAUAUUUUCAAAAGAAUUGCAAACUGAAUUUCCUUUCUCUCCCAUAUCACUCAUCAGUUUUUGAGAUAUGAGAGAGAGUAAACAAAAAAAAAAACAAUGCAGUUCGGUAGUUUUGAUAGUGGGCCUGAAUCAUAUUAUGGGCUUUUUCGAUGAGCCUAUUACGGAUAUGAGAAAAUAAAAGGACACAACCGAGAAAACCCAAAGAUCUCCGUCUGAAUCUGUCAAAAGCCCUAGCAAAACCCUAGCACCCAAAUCCUUAGUCCGUUUAGCCGUUAUAUACGUGUUCACUCUCGGAUCACCGGAAGUAAAUCUAUAGACUCGUUGAGAAGACGAUUUUCAUUUGCAAAGGUAUCUCAUUUCGUUUAAUCUUGAUAUUUUUCUUUUAUUUCAGAAUUCAAUCCGAUGUCCUCUAUUUCCUCUAUUUGCGUUGUAUUGGGUAUAAGCACAUAUCGAAGGCUUGUAGAUAGCGUAUAAUUAAAAUCGCCUGCGAGCUCAAUAUUUGUGCAAAAUCCUAAACCAUUCAUUGAGAUUCAAUAAAUCUCUGUGUUAUAAGAAUCUUUCUUUUCUUAUCGACAAUUUUGAUGGGUGGGACAUUUCUUCCUCGAUUUUAUGAUUUAACAUUUGAUGAAAGAAAAUCUGAUUGGAUCUGUUGUGAAUAGUCGAAUCCUUUGUCUUUUGAAUUGAAUCAGAUAAUAGUAGCAAUUGGUUACAUCUAGUAUACUUUCAUAAGUGACAGCUAUUUGAACAGUUUGGUGACUUGAGUUGCGUCUGUGUAAUGGAUUAGAGGAACUGAUCAGGUCUUAACCUUUUGUAUCUCAAGGAUGAUUUACUGAAUUCAUAUCCAUGGUUAAUAUCAUUGAUGAAUCGUAGCUUUGUUAUUGGCAGGAUUUGGAGUAUUAGUGAAACCUGAGGAAAAUGUCAAACCCGAAAGUCUUCUUUGACAUCUUGAUUGGGAAGAUGAAGGCAGGGCGUGUUGUGAUGGAGCUAUUUGCAGAUGUAACACCGAGAACAGCGAAUAAUUUCCGUGCACUGUGCACAGGAGAGAAGGGAAUUGGGGAAGCAGGAAAGGCAUUACACUACAAAGGCUCAGCCUUUCACCGUAUAAUCCCAGGAUUCAUGUGCCAAGGUGGAGAUUUCACUCGUGGGAAUGGAACUGGAGGAGAAUCGAUAUACGGGUCUAAAUUUGCGGACGAGAACUUCAAGUUGAAGCACACUGGUCCAGGGAUUUUGUCUAUGGCUAAUGCAGGUCCCAACACCAAUGGAUCUCAGUUCUUCAUCUGCACAGAGAAAACAUCGUGGCUUGAUGGGAAACACGUUGUGUUUGGGAAAGUUGUGGAUGGGUACAAUGUGGUCAAGGCAAUGGAGAAUGUUGGAUCUGACAUGGGAACCACCUCUGAGAAAGUUGUGAUUGAAGAUUGUGGUGAGCUCAAGGACGAAACUUCAUAAAUCUCAAACACAUUGGGUUGAUCUUAGGAAGAUAUCCCUUUUUCACUUUCCUUAACCUGAAUAAAACUGUAUGACCUAUCUUUUAGCUUAGUAAGCUCUUUUGAGCAUGAAUCUAUACUUGUUUUGAAACUACUUCUUUACUCCCAUGAAAGAUGAGUCAAUCCUCUUCAUCGUCGAAACAAAGGAUAGUGUAUAUUAUGUAUAUAUUUAUAUAUCACAUGUUUCAUGAAUCUUGCAAGUGGGGUUCUACUAAAGCUAUUUGUAUAUAAAAUUUUAAAUUAAAACUGAAAAUGUUAAAGUUUUUUCCUUCAGAAACAAGAGUUGAUUAUUGAUUAUUGAUGUUGUAUUUAUUAUUUAUAUGUAUAACAGAGAUUUAUGGAGGAGAGUAGGAGGGGUGGUAAUAGUUAAAUUUCUCUACGGAGACGGGAGACAUUUGGUUUUGAUCUUGGUUUUCUCAUCUGUGUUUACUAAAUUAUGAUGGAUUGUUUCAUGUUUUGGUUUUUAGUUUUGCAUAAACAAAACUCUUUGGAUUCACUUGCCAAUUUGUAUUCAAAACUAUAAAACUGCUGACUUUUGUAAAUGGGCAGAUCUCUAUAUACACCAACUAGAUAGACUUUUUGAUCAUGUGGGGAUUAUAUAUCAUAUUAUUUAAUGAACGAAAACAUUUUGUUUCACAAUUGUACUGGUUUCUUUUAAAAAAUCAACUACCAAAUUGCCUUGGCAAUUAAUGCUAUUUUGUAAUUAAAAGCCUAACAGACUUUCUGGGUAUAUCUUCAAUAUCUUAUUGUACAUAAAAGAGAUCGCGAUACCUGUUAAAAAAAUUAUAAAUGAAAACUAAAGUUUUUUUUAAAAAAAUUAUAUUUUAGAUUAGAAUAAUGAAAUUAAAAAUAGAUAACAAUUCUGAAAAGAAAACAAAAAAAGGCAAAAAAAAAAACUAUAUUCGAAUUUAGAAUCAAGAAAUAAAGAAAUUUUCUUAUAUAGGUGAAUGUUUUUGAGUUGGUAAAUUUUAAAAUAAGAUAUAUUUUUACAUGCAAUCUAAUCUUUUCUCCAUUGUAAUUAUCUAGUUUAAUAUAUUAGAUUUUUAGCAAUGACAUUUGUUAGGUGAAUAAAUUCAAGUGGUGGUGAUACAUCAACGAUACUAACAUAAACUAUCAUGUUAAAUAUUUUGGUUAUUAUUGCAUUCACCAUUACAAAAAAAAAGGAAUGGUAUAGUAUUCAAUUCAUCCCCCCAAAAAAAACCUCACAUGUAAAAAGAUAUAUAGUGAAAUCUAUGAACCCAAAGACUUGACCGUUAUAUAUGGUUCCAUUUUCUUUCACCUUUAUAUAAAGCGCACGAACCAUACUCUUGUUUUCUGUCCCCCCAAGAGAUCUUGAGGGUUAAACUUUACUUAAAUUAUAUAAUCAUACACUAUAAUGGAUUAUUAUAUUUUCCGAUUAUUUCGGUUGAUUCUCGUUGCAAUUUUCAUCUUCCAGGGAUCGUGUUAUUCCGACCAAGGUACAACUAUUUUGUUUAUCUCUAUGAUAUUUUUUAAGGUUAUGCUUAGCAUAAAUAAACUGAUUCCAAAUUUUAUGAAAACUGUUUUUUUGGUGAAGCUGGUGGUUAUGGUUUUCUGAAAGAUGCAACAUUAGCACCAAAAGUCUCUCACUUCGACUACAUAGUCAUCGGAGGAGGAACCGCCGGAUGCGCACUAGCCGCAACGCUCUCUCAAAACGCUACCGUUUUAGUUCUCGAACGCGGUGGGUCUCCUUACGACAACCCAACUGCCACAGACAUCGGAAACUUCGCAAACACACUCUUGAACUCAACAUGGUCGCAGCUUUUCAUCUCCCAAGACGGAGUGUUUAACUCACGCGCGCGCGUGCUCGGCGGAGGCACGGUCCUAAACGCUGGUUUCUACUCGCGUGCCGAAGACGAUUACGUUGCGGAAGCAGGUUGGGAGAGAAACGAGGUCGAAGCGGCUUACGAGUGGGUGGAGAAGAAAGUAGCGUUUGAACCGCAGGUUAAGGGAUGGCAAACGGCGUUUAGAGACGCGCUUUUGGAAGCUGGAGUGGCUCCGUACAACGGUUUCACGUACGGACAUAUCCACGGGACGAAAAUAGGCGGGACGAUAUUUGAUCGAGACGGUCAUAGACACACGGCGGCUGAUUUGUUGGAGUAUGCUAAUCAGAAUACGAUUGUUGUCUACUUGCAUGCUUCUGUCCACAAAAUCCUCUUCACCACUACUAAAGGUACUUGAAUUUGAUUGAUAUAUAUGUUAUUAAAUGCAUUGUCUGAUCUCUUUAUGAUUGAAGAUUGAGACGGCAUGGCUCGUGAGGGUUAGGAAGAGAGAUAGAGACGUAGCUUACACGUAAUCCUAGCUACUUUUGUUUUUAAUUAUUAACUGGCGUUUUUUAUAGUUAAAAUGCUCUUUUUUUUUCCAAACAAAAAUAGUAGAUAUUUGUGUUUUGUAUCACUUGCUUAUUAUUGUUUUUACAGGAACUUCAAGGCCCAAGGCAAAUGGGGUGAUAUUCCGAGAUAGAAAUGGAGUGUUCCACACAGCUCAACUAGCAGCAGCACAGAAUGCACUGAUCAAUGAGGUGAUAUUAAGCCCGCAGCUAUUAAUGCUGAGUGGUAUUGGGCCUGCGGCCCAUCUUGCAUACCAUGGGGUGAAUCCUAUCAUACUAGAUCACCCCAUGGUGGGACAAGGAAUGGGUGAUAAUCCCAUGAACCCUGUUUUCAUCCCUUCUCCUGAACCAGUAGAGGUGUCUCUUGUCCAAGCCGUUGGAAUCCCCAAUUUUGGUAGUUACAUUGAAGGUGGAAGUGGCUUAAGUGUCUCUAUUAGUUUGACCCGUGCCUUCUUUGAUGGCGUUUUAAAUCUUCUCAAUAAGGUAUAUUAUGAUCAAUUAGUUAACAGAAUAAAUGGCAUAUAGUAUCAAUUAAUAUAUAUACUCUAAAAUGUUAUAAAUUGGUUUUUUGUAUAUGUGCCAAUUUUUAUUAUGCAGGAAAAACUCCCCACUCAAUCCAUCUCAAACUUUUUGAAAUCUUUCAAUAUUCGAUUGAACUUGAAGACAAAAGCGGGUGUGAUCAUCCAGAAAGUGGCAGGACCUAUCUCGAGAGGUCACUUGGAGCUGCGGAACACGAAUCCAGAUGAUAACCCUUUGGUGACAUUUAAUUAAUACCAAGACCCCAAAGAUUUGAAUAACUGUGUUGAAGGACUUAGUGCUAUAAUUAAAGUGAUAGAUUCCAAGGGAUACUCCAAGUACAAGUACCCUGGAGUAACCGGGCGUGGACUUUUGAAUCUCAUUCUUGCCCUUCCAAUCAAUCUGAGGCCAAGGCACUUAACUUCGACUUUUGAUUUGAAGCAGUAUUGUAUAGAUACAACUAUGACUAUUUAUCACUACCAUGGAGGUUGUCAAGUUGGAAAAGUCGUCGACAAUGAUUACAAAGUAUUAGGGGUUGAUGCUUUGAGGGUCAUCGAUGCAUCCACAUUUCUCAAGUCUCCAGGGACUAAUCCUCAAGCCACAAUCAUGAUGCUCGGAAGGUAAUUAAACACACAUUCAUAAACCAAAUUUUUCUAAACAUUUUUUUUCCAUCAUCUAAACAUAUUAAUUAUAUAAGAUGUGACUGAAGGAAAGUUUAAAUGUGUAGAUAUAUGGGGCAGAAGAUUCUUCGAGAGAGGGCGGAUUUUCUGGAAACUGAAGAAGAAGCAUGAGAUCUUAAAUAUGCUCAAAAGUCUUGUUAUUGAUGAGGAUCGUUGCUUGCUCUGAUGAAAUAUUGAGAACAAAUCUCUUCAUCGUUCAAAGAAAGGAAACUCUCAAGGCAUGAUCAGUAUACUGUAUCAAAUAUAUUUCGUGAUCUUGGAGUGACUUUCUCUAGCUUGUAAAAUAUGUGAUUUUUUUUUUUUUUGGGUUUAAUAUGUAAAAUUAUAUUUAAACAACAUUUAUAUUUACGUACAGAUGUGAAGUUAUUUUGUUCAGGAACACUAAUGAAAAUUGACGUUCUUAGGUUUUUGUUAAAAAUAUUGAUGUUAAUCAGUGACUUGUUAAACGACUAGGAAAAUGACCUGACGGUUAGGUGUGAUCUUCGAAAUCUAAGAAUGUUUAGAAUUUCGUUCAUUCUUUAAACAUGUAAGGUUUUGAAAGAACGGCAUAUCAAAAGUUAAUUAUAUACAUACAUUUAAAAGCACUUUUUAUACAUGCAUGUAUACAUAACAAACAUAUCUAAGAUCUGUCGUAAGAAAAACAAUCCAGCAUGUAUGUGUAGCUAACAUGUGAUUGCAGCUUCGAUAUUUUGUUUUUUUUUUUUUAAAUUAUUCAAUGUUUUCCAGCACUAUGUAGUGUUUUUUAAUUAUGGUCCAAAAAAUAUACUAUAUAGUAUUUUAUAUACAGGAUGCUAGAUCAUUCACAGAUCCCAUAUGCAUGGUUUGUUGCAUUUAAUAAGUCAAUGACAAAAUAAAUUAAUGCAUGGCCUUUACAAUUUCAACCUUUUUUUUGUAUCCAUAACCGGAUAACCCCAUCACUAUGAUGAAAUAGUGUCAAUGUCUUUAAGCAAAAAAAAAAGAAGAGAGAAUAGCUACUAAGGUCAACGUGAACGCAAAGCUAGCAUAAUCAUAAUUUUACGUAAGGAUGAAGUUAAGAUUACGCCAGGUCCAGGACAUGGUGGCGGUGCAUUUGCAAAACUAUUAAUGAUUUUCUCUUUCUGUUCGUCCAAUCAAAACUCGAUGGCUUUCAAAUUACGGCGAGACCGUUACGUCAACCGUAUAUCCUCUAUAUAUAUAUUAUCUUUGGAUUCAUUCCAAAAACGCCAGUUUUUAUUUAUGUAGUCUUUACUUAAUUACUUAUUAUCACAGUAUACUCUUAUCAUACAAGUAGAUGGUCAUAUUUUAUGAAAAUCAUUAUUUGGAGUCUUAUAUUGAGGAGGUUAAUCAGAAAAGUUAUAUAUAUAUAUAGUAUUAAUUAAUUUGAUUUUAAAAGCUUAACUAGAGAAGGAAAAAAAACCCUAUUAAGGUGACUGGUGACACAUGAGAUAUAUAGAAAUGCCAAACGGUCUGAUCCAGUGAAGAGUAAAAUCGACUAACCGAUUACAGGAUCUUGAUAGGAACAAAUUUCACACACGAUAUCGUGGAAGGGUAGAAAAUUAGAGAUGGACAUUUUUUUUUUUGUGGUAAAAUUAGAGAUAGAGAUACUCGUGUGGGCAAAUUUUUAAAUUUUUUUUUUUUUUUGUGUCGGCAAAUGUUUCUUUUUCUUUUUUAACUUGGAUAAAUAACACAAAUUAAACGUGGGUGGUGUGAGAUGAGGUAGAUUAGAGUUGAUGUUUUUGCGGAUUGCAUUUUUUGCGAAUUAGUCUACCAAAACACGUAGUCCAAAAAGAUUCAAGGUUUACAUUAAUUUACCACGUUGUCUUGACACUUGAGACUUGAGAGAGUACAGGCAUGAAGCAAAUUGUGCUACUGGCAAUUGUCCCGGUCUGUGCCAACAACAAAAAAAAUGGCAGGGAUUUGGCAGCUGCGUCGAAACAAAUGACGAAACCAUGCAAUGCCUCUACCAUCAUGAUUCCAUUUCUUGAAUUUUAGUUGUUCUUCUUAUUGACCGGACACAAGUUUUUCUUUCUUUUUCUUUUUGUACACAUAAAUCAUCAUCAACUGCAUAUAAAAUAAAAUAAAAUAUUUCUUGCAAUCUGUUCUAAAUUAAACAAAGUAUGCAUGGUUGCAUGCACUCUCGAAGAAGCAUUAUGCAUGAAAAUGUAGUGACAUUUGAGGCAUCAAAGAUAGUACUAGCGAUAUAUAAUAAUAUAUAUAUAUAUAUAUAUAUAUAUAACAUACAAUGAAUAAUUCUAGAUAGAUAAAUACUUGUGUGGGCAGAAAAAAAAUUAUUUCUUUUACUUGGAUAAAAUAAACAUCAGAAAACGUGGGCGGUGUUGAUUACAAUUAUGGAACACUUACAUGUAUAUCCUUUAAAAAAAAAACACUCCUAUAUGUACCUGUGUAUUAAAAGUUCUGAAAAUAUUGGAGAAUAAUUUAAAACAAAUUCCAGAAAAUGGGGGUAUUCCCAUUACAUCCAUGACUAAACCCCACAUGGCAAAGAAAGCUGGAUUGAAAACGAAGAAAGUAACAGCGAAGCAAAUACUCCACGUUGAAUCAGUCAGAAACUCCUCCACGUACUUAUUGCAUUUUUUUUUUUUUUGAUUAUUAAUCUACAAGAGUCAAGACCACAACACAAUCAUUCAUUCAACUCCAAUCAUCCAAAAUAUGAAAUACCCACAAAUCAAUACAAAAAUCCACGUGGCAUGUACACCCCACUAUCGUUCUCGUUAUAAUAUUUUUCUUUUUUGUUUUUUGUUUUUUCCCCUCUGUUAAGUAGCAUAAAAAAAACACACAUACCCACACAAAAAAAAAAAAGCCAAGCAUUUCCAACAAGCUACGGCAAAAGUCUUUUUCGACGGUGGCUUUGGCCUCUUCUUUUGAAACCUUUUAGUUCUGGCGUCUAUUAAGGUCCAUAGUUUUUUCUUUUUUUACAUGCUCGAUUAUUCUUUAUUUUAUUCUAUAUAAAGUACUAAUUAUCUGUAUACCGGUUAGUAUUCUACACGUUUAUCUAAUAGUAAUACCCAUGGCGAAUUAAACCUUUUUUUUUACAGCGAUGAAUGUUGGAUCUUAUUUUUCUCUGUUCGUUGAACAUAGUACAUAUUUUGAUAAAAGAGAGCACAUUGUUUUGUUUCAUGAGAAAAAAAAAAACGAAGUUAUAGCUUAUUUAUUUUCGAUUGUCAACAAGAAGAAGUUAUUGUGUUACUGAAACUCUGGUGCAUCCUCUUAAUUUAUUAUCGGCCAAACCACGGGGACACGCGCUUUAAAUUAAGAAAAUUAAAAACAAAGUUGAAAAGUCAUCUUCUUCUCACAAAAUCGUUUCCUCAGCCAUGCGAACUCAAACUCCAAGCUCUCUCUCUUCUUCGUCUUUUAGCUUACUUUUCAUUUUCUUUUUCCUUUCUUCUUCUUCUUCGUCCUUUAAUCUGUGAUAUAAUUUCAGAUCGAGGAUCGAUUUUCUCAGCUUCCGUGUUUUUUUUUGUUUGGCUUACUUGGUGUUGCUCAACUCCUAUUUCCAGUUGUUGUCUUCUCGGUUUUUGGCUCACGAUGAGUAAGAACUGGAAAUCCGUUCGAUUAAGGCUCCGAAUGCGUUCUCUCAUGUUUUUUAUGGUGAUUUUGAGCUUCGAUUCGUGCUAUUCGCUGAAGUAUGAAGGUAUAUCGGUUUUCGUUUCUAAUUUUUUUUUGGCUGCCAAUAAAUAGAAGCGAGUUCCUGAUAAUUUGUUUUCCUCCUCUGUUUCGCUUUCGGAUUUCAGGUGUGGAAUCCAAAGGAACAGUGACGGAAGAUCCAUGGUCUGCUAGAGAUGCCGCGGAUUUGUAAGUUGCAGCUUUCGAUUCUUCUGUGUUUGCUUUAGUUUGAUCAAUAAGCUGCUUGUUUUAGUAUGUGCUAGGUAUUUGGAUAAGACGUCUUGUUGAUUUUCAGAUUUAUAGUUUCUCAAGUGUUGCCAAUUUUGUUAUGCUAAGAUCUAAUGUGCGAUGAUGUUUGAUACUGCAACUUGAUUGUUCAGUGAAUAGGUUGCGAACAUGAUUUGAAAAUGACUUAUUGGUUGAGCAUCAACAUCAAUGUAGUUGGUUUGGUAGAUCUAUGACUUUAACACCAUACUUUUUAGCUUAUUUGAGUGAACUAAUAUUAUUUUUCUAAGUGGUAAAAUCUAUGAGUUUCGAAAGGCUUUGUUGUUAGUUGUUAUGCAACAUGAAUAUAGACGCUGUCUUUUUAUGCAUAUGUAUUCCAAUACUUGCUAAAUAUUCUUAUAAGCUACUGCAAUCAUAAUCAUAUCAACCUUAUUUAGAAACUUGUUGCUAUAUUUUUUUCCUAUCUUUAAGCUCAAUUUCAUUUUACCUUCGUCUUUUUCGUAGGAGAACGUUUAGUUUUCACCGGAAAUUACUUGGCCGUUUCCUUAACCCCUACCACAAUUUGACUGCGUUCAAGGACCGGCCGCCUGUGGCAAGUGUUACACCACCGUCAUCUUCGGUUUCUCCCAGGUCUAAUGCCACUAAAUCCUCAACAUUGCCUCCUCCGCCACAGAAAAGUCCUCCUGCGCUAAAUGUUUCUGCUCCACCUCCUCCUUUACCCCGUGCAAAUUUUCCUAGUCUAAGAAGAAGCUCCAAAACCAGCAUGGUUCCUAUUAUGGCUGGCUGCAUAGGCGGUGCUGUGUUUCUUCUCCUUUUAGCUAUUGGUGUCUUCUUUUUCAGAAGUAAGGCUGGGAAAUCUGUGAAUCCUUGGCGUACAGGUCUUAGCGGACAACUUCAGAAAGCGUUCGUAACUGGUAAUUGUCUUUCUACGCCACUGAUACAAUAUGUAAAGUCGCAUUUUUAGUUCUUGAAGAUUGAGGUUUAACCUUGCCUUCCAGAAUUUUGGAGAAAUCGAUGUUCUUGUUGUUCUCAGCCCACGAAUUUCUUUUGGUUUCAACAUUAAUGAUGUUUGAUGGUAAUUCAGGUGUUCCCAAACUCAAAAGAUCUGAGAUUGAAGCUGCCUGUGAAGAUUUCAGUAAUGUCAUUGGGUCUUGCCCCAUUGGUACAUUGUUUAAAGGGACACUAUCAAGCGGGGUGGAGAUAGCUGUGGCUUCUGUUGCUACUGCGUCUGCCAAAGAAUGGACAAAGAACAUAGAAAUGCAGUUCAGAAAGAAGGUAUAUAUGGUCGACCAGUUCCUUUAUACUUUUAAAGGGUUUUCUGUCUCCUUAUCGUUUAUGUUCUUGAUAAUUUCAGAUCGAAACGUUAGCCAAGAUAAACCACAAGAAUUUCAUCAACCUUCUUGGUUACUGUGAAGAAGAUGAGCCUUUCACUAGGAUCUUGGUCUUUGAAUAUGCAUCAAACGGAUCGCUCUUUGAACAUUUACACUGUAAGCAAAAAAGCUCUUUAGUCGCAUGAGUCAUUACAUUUUAAGUUGUCUCGUUUCCUUCACGAUUUUAAAGGGGAAACAAUAUUUACUUUUUAUUUUGCAGAUAAAGAAUCAGAACAUUUGGACUGGGUAAUGCGGCUAAGAAUAGGAAUGGGCGUAGCAUAUUGCCUUGACCAUAUGCACGGGCUCAAGCCACCUAUAGUUCACAGCAAUCUUCUCUCAUCAUCAGUUCACCUCACAGAGGAUUACGCUGUCAAAAUUGCGGAUUUCAAUUUUGGUUACCUAAAAGGCCCAUCCGAGAGAGAAACCAGCACCAAUGCACUCAUAGAUACGCACAUCUCAGUCACAACACAAGAAGACAAUGUUCACAGCUUCGGUUUGCUAUUGUUCGAACUGAUGUCCGGAAAACUCCCAGAGUCUGUUAGAAAAGGCGACUCGGUAGAUACCGGAUUGGCUGAUUUCUUGAGAGGAAAGACUUUGAAAGAGAUGGUGGAUCCAACACUGGAAAGUUUUGAUGACAAGAUUGAGAAUAUAGGUGAAGUGAUCAAAAGCUGUGUAAGGGCAGAGCCGAAACAGAGACCGACAAUGAAGGAAGUCACGGGGAGAUUGAGAGAGAUCACAGGAUUAUCACCGGACGAUACUAUUCCCAAGCUUUCGCCUCUGUGGUGGGCAGAGCUGGAAGUGUUGUCUACUGCGUGAAGAGAGAGUGAACUACUUUGCUUCACAAGGAAACUGUAAGUAUUAAUAUGAAGACUGUGUGAGGUUUUUGAGCCUCUGUGGAGCUAGUUGCUUCUCGUUAGGCUACAUAUCUAAAAUCUAUGCAAGUUAGUCUAUAAAAGCGACUCUAUAAUCUUAGUUGCGUUCAGUAUCAAACAGUACAUGUCCAAGAGCACGGUGAUACCCUUUUUGGUGUGCAUAAUGUCAAUGGUGGUUAUUGUGUUUUAGGUUUUAUUAAUUUCUUGAAAAGUUUUAAUUAAUCAGGUUCUGAAGUAACAUAAAGAAAGCCGAUCAAAGUAUUUAUCACAAUGUUUGGUCGGUCAAAGAAUCUAGUUGAGAAUGGUGCUUCAGGCUUGCAGUUGAUACAGUCUACCUAGAAUUGGCUACCUCUAAUAUUCAAGCCAUCCGAGGAAUAAAGUUAUUCUUGGUGGGUUCCUAAACAAGUCUCAUCGAUAAACACAGAGUUCUUAAUAUCUUAAUUAGCCGGCUUCAUGUUUAAGUUCAGAGUUUCUUAAUGAUCCUUGUCUUCACUUGCCACAGUGUGCGCAGUUAAAUUGGUUGGUUUUAUACCUCUCAAUAGAAUUCAAAAGUGAAAAUAUUUUAACCCUUUUCGGAUUCUCAUACCAUAGUUAAAUGUAAUAUGUUUAUAUGUUGACAAAAAAAUAAAACGUAUACCAAGAAAGAAAAGAAAAAAAGGAAAAUAAAUUGGAGUCGACGUGAACAUGGCCCAUCGGUGUAAUCCAAAGAGAUGCCAUGUGGACCGUCAGAUUAAAGAUUGCAUCACACGACAAUCACACAUCGUCUACACAAUCAUCAAAUCAUCCGCUUCUGGUUGGAUAAAAAAAAAACAAAAAACAGGAAAAAGAAAGAAAAGAAGCAAAAUCGUACAUUUGAGAGCGCAGCUUUUGGGAGGAGGGUAUAUGCUUCGAGUAUCUCUCCUUAUCCCUCCUCCGGGUCUUCUUCAAAAACCCCACUCCUUCUUCUUCCUCCUGUAACUUCCUCUCGCCAUGGCCAAUCCUCAAGCUUCUCCGAUUCUCCACAACCACAAUCAUCUCUCCUUCUUCCACUUCCAAACUACAUAUUCUCGUCCUUCCUUUACCUCUCUGCAUUUCAGGAAGCCUCUGCUCUUUCUCCCUUCUUCUUCUUCUUCUUCUUCUUCUUCAUUUCCCUCGCAAUUACCUCAGAGCGAGCAGCAAUGUAAUCACCAGGUGAGACGCGUGUCCACCGUACCUGUGGAGUACUCAACACCGACUCCUCCGGAAUCCGACGAUUUCUCAUCGGAAAUCGAUCGGCUUAAGGCUCUCCUAUCGAAACUAGACGUUUCCAAGGACCUACGGAGGAAGGAAGCGGUCAUCGACGCUGAUUCCAGAGUUCGUCGAUUCUUCAGCGAUAAUCGAGGCGGUUUAUCCAAGGUUUUAGCUUCACUUGGUUUGAAUUCGAAAGAGAUGUUUCUCGUCAAGUGUGUGAUCGCUGCGGGGCAAGAACACGCGCUCUGUGUGGGUUACGAGGAAACAUUUGAAGAAGAAGAAGAGGAGUAUACAGUGAGGAGUUCUGUGAAGAACGCGCUUUACGCGUUGGUGGAGAUGAUAGAGCGAUUCGAUGUGAAUAGCAACGGCUAUAAAGGUAGAAGAGAGACGUGUACAGUUUUAGAUGCAGAGGAGAUUGCUCACUUUAGAAAGUUCUUGACGUUUCUGGGAGAAAUUGAACAGUUCUACGACUGCAUUGGAGGAAUCAUCGGGUAACAAAUACUUAACUUCCUUUUAGUACUGAAAUUUGAUGAACCCUUAAAGGAGAUCCCUUGAAAGUGAAAGAAAAUGGCAUUUCUCUCUUUGAUAUAUUCACUGCUGAGACAUGCAUGAUUGUUUGUCAGAUAUCAGGUUAUGGUUCUCGAGCUUCUUCACCAAUCGACUAAGAGGCAUAAUGCGAGCCGAUCACAUCUUGUUGAAGAGUCUUUAAGUUGCCAGUACUUAGAAAUGCACUCUCCUAGCGUUCUUGACCUCACUCAAGAGAAAGAGUUUGCCUCCCAGGCGGCAUUAUGGGGAAUUAAGGUUAGUAAUGUGUUAUUGCUUUCAAUAUUGACCGAAAUUGUUGUCUAUGGUUUCUGGAUUAUAAGUUGUUGUACAUAUUAGGGAUUGCCAGAUUUAGGUGAGAUAUAUCCCCUAGGAGGUGCAGCAGACAGGUUAGGUUUGGUCGAUCCAGAAACAGGAGAAUGCCUUCCGGCAGCAAUGCUUACUCAUUGUGGACGAACUUUGUUGGAGGGACUUAUUAGAGACCUUCAGGUACAGGUUCACUAAAUACUUGAGUGAUUAUUGGUAGUUUUUUUUUUUUUGUAUUUGUAUGAAUGAAACUGAAAAAUCAGCAGCAUUUGAGGUAUAAACAACUGUAUUUGUUCAUAUGAGUUAGUAAUGAUAUUUGGUUAUCCUUUUUUCUUUUUGUAAUUUAUAGGCUAGAGAGUUCCUUUACUUCAAACUUUAUGGAAAGCAAUGUGUCACACCUGUUGCCAUUAUGACAAGUGCUGCAAAGAAGAACCAUGAGCAUGUAACUUCGCUUUGCAAAAGGCUUGAAUGGUUCGGAAGGGGUCAAUCAAAUUUCCAACUCUUUGAACAGGUAUAGGAAAUAUAUAAUUUCUUUUGAUUCAUAUUACCCUUUUUGGCAACAACUGUAUAUUGAGUAUACUCACGGUUGAAAAAAUGGUUUUUGAUCUUUAGCCUCUCGUCCCAGCUGUCAGUGCUGAAGAUGGUCAAUGGAUAGUAUCAAAGCCCUUCGUGCCAGUUAGUAAACCUGGUGGUCAUGGUGUGAUUUGGAAAUUGGCUUAUGACAAAGGCGUCUUUAAAUGGUUUAAUGACCAUGGAAGAAAAGGAGCAACCGUUCGGCAAGUUAGGUUAGUCACGUGUAGCUUGUGUUGUUGUUCAUUAAAAUAAUUUAAGAGGUACCUGGAAUUCUUGACUUAGUGUUGAUAAUUGUGAUAUUGCAGUAAUGUUGUCGCUGCCACAGAUGUUACUCUCUUGGCCCUUGCUGGGAUUGGUUUACGGUAUAAGAAGGUAGGCGUGCACUGUAUUUGUAUAUUUAGAAUCCACACAUUGGACAUAGAUUCAAAAGAUUAUUUAUAUCACUUUUGGUGUUUAUUGCUAAUGGUCCCCUGAUAGCUGGGCUUGAAGAAGAUUUCUAUAUUACGUAGUAAUGUUUCUUGAGCGUAUAUGAUGAAUAAGUUCCUGUAGAAGUCUGAGCUGUGUCUUAGGCCUCAAACUCUGUUUAGUUAGUUUUUGACAGUUAACUGUCUACUAAGAUGGCGAUGCUUUCCAACCUUGCUUACUAGUUUUGAACACAUAUUAACUAAGUGUAAUCACAGCUCUAUCACUUCAAGAAAAAACAAAAAAGUGAAAUAAUACCUUUUUGGGCUUGGAAACAGUUGAUCACCGCAAACCUUGAUAUAUUGUGAAUCUUAAUGUGGCAGAAACUUGGAUUUGCAUCCUGCAAAAGAAAUGCUGGAGCAACCGAAGGAAUUAAUGUAUUGAUGGAGAAGAAGAAUCUUGAUGGGGAGUGGGAGUAUGGUGUAUCAUGCAUUGAGUACACUGAAUUUGAUAAAUUCGGAAUCUCCAACAGAUCACUAGAUUCAAAUGGGUAUGAGAUUUCUGUCAUUUAGUUUGUUUAUCCUUUAAAAAGUUGGAUAUACCGAGAACCGUUUCAUAGUAUCCAAGUUCUAGCUGAAAAAAAUGAGCGUGUAAUUUAUCUACUCUAUUAUUUUCGGCCUUCAAUGGUAGUUGUUCUUUCUUGUUUUCUGGUUAAACCUCAAUUCCCAUAUUUUUCUUCAGCUAAGAGUGCAAUGAUCAAAAUCAAAUCAUUUUUUCUUUUCUACUUCUUUCUGAAGCUUGCAGGCUGAUUUCCCUGCCAAUACAAACAUUCUAUAUGUAGACUUACAUUCUGCCGAGUCAAUUGGGUCGAGCAGUAGUGUAAAAAGUCUGCCAAAUAUGGUUCUCAAUACAAAGAAGCGAAUUGAAUACACUGACCAGUACGGAGACUAUCACAGGUUUGUAUUUCUGAACACUUAUGCUGACUGAUCUUCGAUGUUCCCUUGUUAUAGUUACCAUUCUUCUCGUCAUCGGUCAAAUCGAGACUGCUGGGUAGCUAAAACGGAAAUGGACUUCCAUUUCCUCUUGACUCCUAGCACUUUUUUUUUCUAGAUCCCAAUUGCCUUGAAAUGUAUACUUCAAAUAAACUUUACGAGUUUGAUAACAUCGGUAGCAACUUUCUUAUUAUUUUUUCUUUUCGGGCAGCGUUAUGGGUGGUAGAUUGGAGUGCACGAUGCAAAACAUAGCAGACAGUUUCUCAAAUAAGUUUCCAUCUAGAUGUCAGGGCAGUCUAGAAGGUAAAGUUGUUUGAAUAAGUUGCAAUGUUUUUAUGCAUAUCUGUAUUUAGGUGUUACUAACUCGCUUAAUAUGAUCUUACCAGACAAACUGGAUACAUAUAUUGUGUACAACGAACGAAGAAGGGUCACUUCAUCAGCUAAGAAGAAGAAACCACACGCAAGUGCUGCAUUACACCAGGUUCGUUUCUCUAACCACUUUCUAUGUCCUUUGUCUUUUCCUUUGUCGCGUUGCUUUGAUUUAAACUAAUUUUUUUAUCUAGUGUAAUAUGACUAUUUUUCGAACUUAUUUCUUUCUUUACAGACUCCAGAUGGUGCAUUGUUGGAUAUACUCCGGAAUGCAUAUGACCUCCUUACAGAAUGUGAUAUUAAAAUUCCCAUGGUUAGUUCAUAUGUACAUCUCUUUUAUAUGACUUGUUUUAAUUAUCACAGAGCCAUGAAGAUGUUUUACAUCUCUGAGUGAAUCUUAUAAAUCACAAUUUCAAAUUGAGACCUAAUAGUUUCAUUCUACUUCAAAUUGAGAAUUAGUAGUUUUCUACUUCUCCAGGUUGAACCUAAUGAUAAAUAUGUGGAUUCCCCACCGCCGUAUAUCAUCCUUCUGCAUCCUGCUCUCGGUCCUCUUUGGGAAGUUUCAAGACAGAAAGUAAGUGAAUAGUCUGUUCGUGACACUAGAAAAUGCCCUCUAGAAAGUGCUUUAGUAUAAUUGAUCAUAUAUGAUAAUUGUUGCAGUUCAAGGGAGGGUCCAUUUCCAAUUGCUCAGAACUGCAACUAGAGAUUGCAGAGGUCUCAUGGAACAAUGUUCAGGUUCCAUAUUUUAUUCUGUUAACUAGAUUUUGCAUUAGCUUUCAUCGUGUUGAGUUUCUUAAGUUCUAAAUCAGCAUCCAUCGCAUAGGUUGACGGUAGCUUGAUCAUCACUGCUGAGAAUGCCAUGGGUUCGACAACAAUAAACGAAAAUGGUGAACCAAUAUUACAAUACGGAUUAAGGUAGAGCAGUUAUAUAUCAAAAUUGUACUGGAAUUUCUCUUUAAGAUACAUGUCUGUUGGUUUGCAUAUGAAUUCACACAACUUGUUUUUGGUAGGUGUGGCAAGUGUAAACUGCAUAACGUCAAGGUAGUGAACCAAGGAAUCGAUUGGAAGAGUAAAUCAAAUGUUUACUGGAGAAACGAUGUGAACCGGCUUGAGACUUGUAAGAUCAUAUUGCACGGAAAUGCAGAAUUCGAAGCCAGCAAUGUAACUAUACAGGUAAAGUAAACGUGGAAGUUAAAAUCCUUGUUCAACACAGAGAUUAGAGUGUGUCUGCUUCGAAUCAAGUGAUCUCUAUUCGCUUUGUCGAUGAUACAGGGAAACCAAGUUUUUGAAGUACCAGACGGUCACAGACUGAAGAUCACACAAGGAAAUUCAGGUCAGUGAAUCAUAUCAAAACCAAUGAUGAUAUUAAUUGAGGCCAAGUUGACACUAGUAUUGAUUGAUUGCAUUAUUUUGGUGAUAGAUUUAGGUUUAAGCAUCAACUUGGAAGCAAUAAGAGAAGAGGUAAUGGAAACAGGAAGCUGGUAUUGGAACUACCAACUCGAUGGAUCCCACAUUAAUCUCGAACAAGUAGAGGUGCCACAAAGCUAACUUACUUGGGAGCUAAGCCUCCCAAUGUAGAAAGUGUCGUGUAAUAAGUAAAUAAAUAUCGCGAAUAAAAGUAGAAAGUUCUUUCCUGUAAAUGUUGCUCACUUGUAAAUUAAACAAAACGUGUUCUCCAAUUCUAUCUUCAAGGCGAGUUUGUCUGCAACUGAUGUGAAAUGUGAAAUUCAAUUCAUUGGAAGGAUUCUUAAUUGCACAAGAAUCCAUGAAUUGGAAGCAAAUACGAAGGUAUAUGUAUCAUGAAAUGUUGUAAACUCUAAAGAAGAUCUCCAUCUGCUAAAAAUGCAAAGAAGCUUAUAAUAAGAUAGAUCUUCACAGUUACAGUCUCUUUGUUCCACGAUCCAUAGAAAAGAAACCAAUCAGAUUUUAUCUCCCUCAAUAUCUGCUGCUAAGUUCAAUUUUUAUCAAUGUAGUGUUCUGCUCUCUGUAACAAUGGUGAUCGUCUUUCUUCUUAUCAGAAUCAAUCAUUGCUCUUUUACUACAACAUUGGUCUCAUAAAAAUCACGCAAAGCAAUUCCCAUUCUGAGUCCUCUCACACACAUCUCUUUCAAAACCAACUUGGCUUCCUUAAACCUCUUCCUCUUGAUAAGCUUACUAGCCAAACUCCCCAAAUUCUCUUCAUCCAAUCUCUUAUCUUUCCCUGCGUACGCCAUCACGAACUCCACUCCCAGCGCAUAAUAGCCACUCUCAAUCAUCUCCGCUAUAACGUGCGCAUGAGUGGCGUACAAUACCGGUAACCCUUCUUCCUCCAUCCUCCUCAGAAUCGCCAUCGCCGCCUCCACUUUCCCCGAUUUACACGCGCCUAACACCAGCGCGUCGAAAGUACGCGUGUCCGGCGACAUCCCUUCCUCCUCCAUCUUCCUCACCACCUCGCUCGCCUCCGCCACGUCACCGUCGUAGCAGUGCGAAGUCAAAAAGUAGUUGUACGACGUCACGUCCACCGGAAUCUCGUGAGAUCUCAUCAAUUCCACUACGCGCCAAGCUUCCUCGAUCUUGUUCUUCUUCGUGAGCGUGUUUAUGAUCGGAUGGAAUGUGCGAAACGAGAGACCGAAUCUCCCGCUUGCCAUAUCGCCGAUCAGGAUCAGAGCGUCGUCGGUCCGGCCGAGUUUGCAGAGUCGCGCGAUGAGAGUUUCGUAGGCGUGAUUCCUCGUGUAGCCGGGGUCCGUUUGAGGCAAAACGCGGCGGAGAUCUUCGAGUGAGGAGGAGUAAGAGGCGGUGUUGGUUAGGAAUUUGAAAGUUGCGGUGGUGUUGAAACAAGCGUUUACGACGCGGCUGUUUAGGAGACGGCGUACGGCUUCGAAAUCGCCGGAGCUUCCUGCUUCGUAGAUGAGGUUAUCGAACUCAGUGGUAGUACGACGAUGACGAGGAGCAAUUGGAUUGGUAUUUAUGGUGGAGAUAGAUCGAAGGAGAAAUCUCGAAUUAGUUGCUUCUUUAAAGUAUCGCCGGAGAAGAGACAUCGUCAAAUUUAAGGCGCCGGAGAUUAGUAAAAAUGACUCUUUUUUUUCUCUCUUCUGGAGGGUUUUAGCCGGAACAUUUAGGAUGAAAACAGUACUGUGAGUGAUGAGUGUAGAUGGGCCUAUUAGGCCCAUAAUAAAGGAACGGGCCAAUAGUAAAAGCCUAAAUGUAUUAUUGGUCUCGAUCCAUUUCCUCUAGGGUUUCUGGAAUAUAUAUUUCAUCUUGUUUUGUCACUCACACUAAGAAAUCGUCGAUUAGGUUUUGUGAAAAAGAAGUCAUGAGAGCUAAGGUAAUAUGAUCUACUUCCAAUCUUCCCGAUUCGAUUGUUUCAGAAAGUUUCUUGCUUUUUUCCUAAGUGAAUAAUUAAUUGUGGAUCUGGUGGUGUUUUUGAUUUUCAGUGGAAGAAGAAGCGUAUGAGGAGGUUGAAGAGGAAGAGACGAAAGAUGAGACAGAGAUCUAAGUAGGCGCAUCAAAUCGACAAGUCUUUCGCUUUUCCCUCUGCUUUGUGUUUCGUUUUUUCCUGGAUUUCACCGGAAUUAGAUAACAAUUCUGUCUUUUGUUUCAAUUUUCAAGAGAAUACAUUUUUGUUGUUGUUGGAUUGAAUCUAUUUUCUAUUAAUGCGAGGCUUUAUUGUCUUCAUAUUGCUCUCUUGCGUAUUUACUAGUUGAUUCACACUCUUUUAUCGAAUUACUCAAAUCUCUUAUGUUUAGAUUGAAAUUAUAGUUUCAUAAGCACUAGAAGAUGUUUGUCUUGUUAAUAGGUUCUCUACUGCUUUCUUUAAAUUGAUCACACUCUUGUACAUUUGGAUGGCUAGGAUGUUUUUUUUGUACAUUUAUAAUAAUUUGAUUGCGCUUAGAGCUACUGAUCUUUUCUUGGACAUGCUAGUCAGUCUUUUUUCUCACUUUACUGUCAUAAAAUUAAUCAAAGCCUAUCGUUCUCAUACUUGUGAUAUUGGGAAGCUGAAAGCCUGAAACUGUGGAUGAUGAACAGAUGUUAUGAUGACUGAACGUAUAAAUUGUUUUAAGGCCUUUUUUUGAGCCUGGCUCUCGUCUCUUGAGAUACGUCGCUCUUGUUGUCUCUUAGGAGUCUUAAUUAGUAAAGUCUUUCCCUUUGACCCUUACGCUCACCUGUUAUAUGAAAAAACUCUAAAAACUCGCAAACUGAGAUAACUAGACUAUACAGAUCCGAACAUGUCCACUCCCGUUUUAUACAAUUUGUUAUUAUUAUCCCAAAUCUCUAAAUCAUAUUUGUUCCUUAUAAUCUGGUACAUUUUUGAAGACGUCUUUCUUGGGUUAGCGGUUUGAACAUAUAUAUGUCUACGUACGUUGGCCUUUUUCUUUUUUGGGUAUAAUCAAUCUAUUUCCACAUCUGUUUUAUAAAAAGAAACUACAAUGUAAAUGCUAUAACUUGAGAAUAAAGCAUGAAGAGAUGUAAUAGCAAAAUUGUGUACUACUAGACAGUAUACACUCAAACCAGCUUUGCCAAGUGAUCAGCUUCCCCAAGUAUGCAUUUCAACUACAACUCUCACUCUUCUGCUUUGAUAGUUUUCCUACUCUGGAAAAUCCAUUAGGCUUUGUCCAACAUCUUCUUAUAUUUAGUUUUCGUUGAAGUGAAUGGCACCGAGUUUCCAGACAACAAAAGUAGUAGCAAACAUCACAGUGCUUAUGAAGACAAAGGAAAAAGCGAUGACGAGUAUAUCUGCGCUUCCAGGGAGAUCAAAUGUAAGGCCUUUCUUUGGCAUACCUCUCCUGCUAUCAUCAAGCAUGUUGGUUGGUGCUUCCGGUAGACCCGGUUUCCUAUUUGAUUUCUUAUCACUUUCCUUGAGCACCUCAAGAAUCUGGCUCCCCAUUUUGGGUUUUGAUGGUUUCGGUGUUGCUUCUGUGUAUCGGCUAAGCACACGAGCCGCUCUUAGUCUCUCUCUUGCUGUCAAUGGUGCUCUUUUCGCAGAACCAUUGUUGCCUGACUCGACGGAUUCACUUGCUGGUUUAUUUGAAUCCGAAGAGGAAGUAUCGACCGAUGUUGAUGUGAUUGAAUUAUCGUUUGUCUCCAAACAAGAUAACACCAAUCUUCUUUUGCUUGAAAGUAACAAACUUGUUGAACCAUUUAGAGAAAUGUGGAACGCGAAAGGCGAAGGCUUUAACGGUGUAGCUUGAGUUGUGAAACUACGAACCUUAUUGGAUCUGUUAUGAAGCUUCAAAAGAGAGAAGGGUUUUUGUUAAUUUCAGCAAAAAGAAGCUUUCUCCAUUCAAGAGAGACCAAUCAAGGAGAAAUGAAACUGUGGAAUUUCAACCCAAAAAAGAAAACUUUAAGGCUUACAAAUUAAACCCAGUUUCAGGAAUCUGCAGGGAAACGAAACAGUUUCGAUUUUACAGAAACCAAAAGGAUAAUCAACUAACCAAACGAAAUCAUCCCAAUUAAGGAUAAGGUGGUUGUGAAGCAAUUAUACACAGGUGUAUGAGAAACCGGAUCACCAAACAAGAAGAAGAAGACAACAAAUACUUACCGGAGAACUGAAGCCGGCGUUGAGAGCGACGGCCAUUGUGAAUAGAUAAACGGUUUUUUAAGAGCGAUGCAUAUGGAAGAAGACGAAGAGGGAGAGAAAGCUUUGCGUUUGUGGCAGUGAAGCUAAGCAGCGUAUCCAAGAUUACGUUCUCUUCAUCCACUCGCUUUUAGAGCGCGUGGAAAUCACGUGGUCGCUUCUUCUAAGAAAACAAACUUGGCCCACAUAGAACAUACUCAAUUGCAAAACACAAAUAUAAUUGGUUUAGGUUCACAUAAAAUCAAUUUGAACAUACUUGAGGCCUAACUAUCUAUUUUAAUUUUAUCGAUGUAAAUAAAUUUAGAAAAUUCAUGACGUGAAAUUCAAAUUAUGAAACAUAAUCGUUAUUUGACAUAUAGUUAAAUGAGAGCCCUGUCCUUUAAACAAAUUAUAUUAGCACAAGUAGUGUGUCUAAUGGCUAUACGCAUACUUGCUUAACCUUCCUGAUAAACUCGGCUUUAACAAAUAAAAAUAAAAAAGUUGUCUUAACCAAUUCCUGAACCUGGAUCCUGUAAAUGUGAGUUGCAAUUGAAUUCGUAAAUCUUUUUAUGACAUUUUGGAAAACAUGUAAUUUUUUGUGUCUAUAGAUAAAUAACUUCAUCAAUCAAGGUACAAGUUACAACUCAUGUACAAGUUCAGAAUUAAGUGCAUGAACUUUUACAUGUUUUCCCCUGUAAAUAAAGAAUGGUCCACUAAUCAUUGACUUUGCAAGUGAUAAUCGUUUGCAUUGAUGAGAGGACCCAUCUAAACCGCUUGUCUUUAGUGACAAUUCACACAUGUAAAUAAUUGCUGAUAAGCUUGACAAAAAAAAAAACAGAAAUGCUAUUUGCUUAUAAUAUGAAAAAUUUAUGUGAUUAAGAAAAUAGAAUAUGAAAGAUAAAGCUAUCAUUUUUAUUUUAGCUUUUCCUCCGUCUCAUAUAGAAAUGCUUUUGUACCAAAUAUGAUAAAUUUGGGAUAUCUAUCCAUCAUAUGUAUGUAAGUAGAUGGGCAUGUUUAUUAAUUGUCUGUUAAUUAAUGCUGUCGUUCUUGUGAGCAUUUAAAAUUAUAUAAAACAGUACCUCUCAUUGAUCGGUCUAAAUAUGCAAGCGAUUACUGAUCUCGUUAGACAUAUUAAAUCAAACAAAAGUCAGAGAUGCUGAUUAUGUCAUAAAAUAUUGAAAUCUCAACACAAAAACUAAGUCAUGAUGUGGUGCGGAAACAACCAAUUCCAGCUCAAUCAAAACGCAUUAAUAUUUAUUUUAUCUGAUCACGAUUAUACAUGUCUCAUAGUUUAUUCAAAUCAAAUAAAAACAAAAGACUUUUACUAAAUCAAAAGACAAAUGGUAGUAAAAAGAAUGUCGGAUCUUCCUGAAGCUCAUUUCUCUCUCUGGAGGGAGAUUUCGAAGCUUUCUCCUGCUUUGCUAAUCUUCUCUCCCACAAGAUUGUUUCUUCUGUGUUUGUGUUGGGAGCUCAAGAGUAUCUGCAAUGGCGACAUCUUCCGAUGGGCUAUUCGACGACAUGAACAUGUUGGGAGUGAUCGGAUAUGUGUUGGAGCAAACCAGAUUCAUCUUUCUCGUACCGAUUCUGAAACUUCUGGUGAAUCUAUGUCAGGUUAUCUCUCUGUUGUUGUUCAUAGAUGCAGCUUAUAUGGCUAUAGUUGUAGCCAUUGUCAAAUUAAGUGGACGAGCACCAAAGAAAGUUCUCAAAUGGGAAUCCUUUAAGAGCGAUGACGUCGAGCUAGCUCCUUCCAGCAAUCAUCCAAUGGUUCUCAUCCAAAUCCCAAUCUUCAACGAAAAAGAGGUGACUUGAUUUCAAACAAAAAAAACAGAGCACUCUGUUUCAGAAAGCAGAGAGACUUGUGUUUCAAAAACAGAGAAUUCUGUUUCACUAGUGAUCUUUUUUAUCUGCAGGUAUGUCAACUUUCGAUAGGAGCGGUUUGCAAGCUAAAAUGGCCAUUGGAUAGGAUGAUUGUACAAGUGCUUGAUGACUCAACUGAUCCACACAGUAAGGUCCUUUCGUUAAACCCGUUUGAAACCUACAUUGUUCUUUGUCUCAGCCACGGUUAUUACAAGGUAUAUAACAAAAGGGUCUUUUUGAAACAAAACAAAAAUAUAGGAACUGGUUAGAUUGGAGUGUAAUAAAUGGGAGAGUGAAGGUAUAAAAAUAAAGUCUGAGGUUAGAGACAGUCGAAACGGGUACAAAGCUGGAGCUCUCACUGCAGGAAUGAAACAUAGUUAUGUGGAGGGAUGCGAGUUUGUCGUUAUAUUCGAUGCAGAUUUUCAGCCUGAACCUGAUUUUCUUCAACGUACUGUUCCUUUUCUUGCUCACAACUCUGAGAUAGCUCUUGUACAGGCCGGCUGGAAAUACGGUUAGAUCUUUCUUCUUCACUCUCGAGCUUGCUAAAAAACCCAUUUUAAAAUCGAUUUGUUCAGCUGAUUUUGCUUGUGUGUGUGUGUGUGUUUGUGUGGCAGUGAAUGCUGAUGAGUGUUGUAUGACAAGAAUACAAGAGAUGUCUCUUAACUACCAUUUUGCGGUGGAGCAAAAGUCUGGAUCCUCCUUACAUGGGUUCUUUGGAUUCAACGGUGGAGCAUCCAUAUCCAUGCUCUUGUGUGUUUUGUUAUGAAUAAGAUCCUAAAUUUGAGUGAUUAUAAAGGAACAUUGUUUGACUGUUUAGGUACUGCUGGUGUGUGGAGAAUUUCAGCUUUGAGUGAGGCUGGUGGAUGGCAAGACCGCACGAUUGUCGAGGACAUGGAUUUAGCAGUUAGGGCUUAUUUAAACGGCUGGAAGUUUGUGUUUGUUGACGACGUUAAGGUUUAAGAAAUCAAGAAACUUUCCAAUUGUAAGACAAUGACUCAACCUUGUACUGUAAUGGCCUGAAAAAGUUUUGGAGCUCUUCUUUUUUCAGGUGAACAAUGAGCUGCCGAGCUCAUUUAGAGCAUAUCGGUUUCAGCAACAUCGUUGGUCUUGCGGUCCAGCGAACCUCUUCAAGAAAAUGGCCAUGGAGAUUAUCCAAAAGGAAGUAAGUAGAUUACAUACAGCCCAAAUCUGAUUCCUUGGGAAGCAAGUAUAUUUCAUUGACCUUUCAUUGUUUUUGUCUCUGCAUGUUGGAUACAGAAAGUGUCUUUAUGGAAGAAGGCGUAUUUGAUAUACAAUUUCUUCUUUGUGAGGAAGAUUGUAGUACACAUCUUCACAUUCGUCUUCUACUGUCUGAUUUUGCCUGCUACGGUUAUAUUCCCGGAAAUAGAAGUACCUAAAUGGACAACUAUCUACAUUCCAGCUACCAUCACUAUCCUAAAUGCUAUCGCAACACCAAAAUCAUUCUACCUCAUAUUGUAUUGGAUCUUGUUCGAGAACGUAAUGGCGAUGCAUAGGAGUAAGGGAACACUCAUUGGACUGCUAGAGACUAGUAGAGUUAAGGAAUGGGUUGUGACACAGAAACUAGGAGAGAGUAAUGCUCUCAGGCAAAACCUCAUUCCUCACUAUAGCUUCCCCGAAAGGUUUGAACUUUUUUUCCCCCUAGAGAUCUUUAUAUCGCACGAAAUGUUGUUAGAAUGAUUGAUGUGAUUGUGAAGUGGUUGAAUUUUUGGUGCAGAAUCCGAUGGCGAGAGAUAAUGGUUGGGAUGUAUCUAUUCAUAUGUGGAUACUACGACUUUGUGUUCGGGAAGACAUACCUUUAUGUAUACCUUUUCUUGCAGUCCAUUGCUUUCUUUGUUGUUGGAGUUGGCUACAUUGGUAUGUCGGUACCGAGUUGAUCACCGGUGACACGUUUAACUUCUUCUUCUUCUCCUCCUCCUACACAUUCAUUCUUUCAAAAUGGUUCGAUUGUAUAGAGAUUUAAAGAUGUUGUUAGACAUAGAGCUCUUCUUGCGUACACGAGAAGUCAUCUCCAAACUGAUAAAUUGGAUAGUGAGUGCAGCAAACAACUUUGCAUCCAAAGAGGCGGGAAAGAGGAAAUGUGAAAGCAUAUCCACUGGUGUCUAAGAAAUACAAAGCUGUGAUUGUAAAUUAUGUCCUUUUUGUCUUCUUUUUAAACUUUCAAAUACUGAUAUGCGCAUAGUUUUUGAUUAUAUGUAACUUCUAUUGAUGAAACAAUUUUUGAAAAACAUACAUUACUAUAAAACAAAGAGAGUAUCACAAGCUUUAGUCUAACCUCAGAACUGUCUAAGUCUUGACCCAAAAAAAGACAAGAAAAAAAGAACUGUCUCUAUAAAGUUAAGUUGGUCAGUAGCCUCCUCCCAUUGGUGGCAUGCCAUAUGGUGGCAUCGGAGGCAUUCCCACCAUUCCCGGUGGUGGCUCAGAGUAGCCUCCGCUCAUUCCUGGUGGUGGCGGCGCAGAGUAGCUUCCGCUCACUCCCGGCACUGGCGGUGCAGGCAAAGCCAGUGGCAGCAACUGAGCAUACAUGUUCUGCACCGUAACACAACCAAUUUAUUGAAUUUACUUCAUUUUAGUUAUCUAAACAAACACCUAACUGAAGUUUCACAAGUACCUGUUGCGACAUAACCUCCUUGUCCUCUUGCUCUUUAGCCUUCACUUCUUUCUGUGCUUCUAUCUUGUCUUUUAUGAGUUCGUCGACUUUUCCGGUGUAUUCGCGCAUAAACUGCAGCAAUCAGACAUAUAGGUUUGUGAUCGAAAUGGUGCAUAUCAACAGCAUGAGCUGUUUCGCCGGUAUAAUGGAAUAAUGCUAAAGAGACUGGUGUCAUAUAACAGAGGAAAAUAAAUUACCUGCAAGAGGUAGGGCAUGGCAAAGUCGAUCAUUUUGUUGAUCCAAGCUAACUCAAGGGCAACAUCUGGUCGGAUUAAGUCGUAGCAUACAAAUAGACAUGUUGCAAAACAUUCCUUCUUUCCCUAUUCCACGACAAAACAGUAAUUGCUUCAGUGAAUUAUGAACAAAUGCAUGACGACAACAGAUACAUGGUUUCACAACUCAGGAAUUUUUAGUACUAAAACCUGUUCUAUGAAAUAAACAAGCAACUCCUCUGCUAGUUCACGGUCUCCAGACUGUGAAGCCGUUUCCAUGCAGUCCUUGUAUAGCUUAUCUUUUUUCGACAAUGCAAUGGAUUGCUUCCACCUUCCAGCCUUUUUGUAGAUGUAAGCCGAUACACGUCUCAUCUCGAGUAGUUCAUGUUUCUCAAUCUGCUCAGAAUCAUCCAACGGAAUGGUUAUAUUAUGGUUAUAAGAUAUAGCAACAUUCAAUAACGCAAAGAGUCAAAGAUGACAGAAAUUACGCACCUUCUGAGCAAGACCUAUUUGGUCAAAGCUAUCAUGCAAAUCAGUGGAUUCACGCAACCUGUCGUAAUCUUCCUCUUCUACAUAAAUCUGGUUCAACGCUUCAUUUACAGCGGAAACAUUGUUGCUCUGAACAGCGACCAUGUAGGGCUUGAUAAGAAGCAGUUGUCCAGCCUGAAAAAGAAAAGAAAAGACAUCAAUAAGUAAUUGAAGUAUCUUACUUAGAACUACGGCAAAUAGUUGAAUGCUGCAUGCAUUUAAUAUAAAAAUAAGUGUAUACCUUGCGCAUAAUGUCAACAACACGGGAAUGAUCCAGCCUUAGUGCAAGGACAUUGAGAACGUCGUUAAUGAUGUCUGGGUGUUCUUGCAAGUAGAAGUGCACUGCUUUGUAAUAUAGCUCCACAUUGGCAACUUUGGCAACAAUAUCUUUGAACUGCAUAUGAUCCCAAGCUUCCGGGGAGUGGUUCAUUACAGUGGUCGCAGCAUUAUCAAAUUCAUCAUACUGGAUGUAUAAGUAGACAAGUUCCUUCCAGUGUUGUUGCUCAUCACAAGCUCGGAUAAGCUUGGGAAUGUUAAGUCUUGUUGAAAAGAGCUUGAUAUGCUCCAUCAAUUUCUCUGGACGGUAUCUAGCAUAGAGAACUCCCAACUCAGUAAAGAUGCCCAUGUGUGCGCGUUCCAAUCCUAAACCACUCUCCAUUAGAGAUAUUAAUUCAUUGAAGCAUCCACGGUUCUGGUAAUACUCGCUGACCUCUUCCAAAUCAUCAACCUAAUUGUAGAAAAACAAAUGUUAAAGACUGUAUGAUCUACUUAGCGGUAAACGAAAAUCAAUAUAGACUAUACGAGAAAGUUAGUAUAACGUGCGCUACCACCAUACAUACUAAGAUCUUAAGAGAUAUAAUACUGCAGAACUGGUAAAAAAAUAUAUAUACUAAAAAGGACAAAUUUUAAUUAGUAAGAAUUUGGGAUAAUACCUGUAUAAUGAUGUUAAGCCCGCAUAUCUGUGCUAAGCGGAACUCUUCAGCAUCAACGCAAGCAAAGCAAACUUCUUUCCACGUCUUUGCACUGUUAGCUUUCCUUGCUGCAUCAACAGCACCUUGGAACUGUUUCAACUUCACAAGUGUGACUGCUAACUUGGCCCAGUUAGAUAUAAAUGCAUAAAUUAUCUUUGCAGCCUCAUACAUGGCUUCAUCAUAUAAACGAUCACCGGCAGUUUGCAAAUUUGCCACAUUCGGCAUCAGAAUAAACUCUUCAAUGUCACCCAACCUGUCAAUCUUUGCAUAAGUGUAUAUCAGUUCAUUGUCAACCUUGGGCUCCUUUACUUUCUGCCUAACCAUCAGAAGGUAUCUAACUAAAUCAUGGUAAACAUCCCCAUCCUCAGCAGCACGGAUAACAUCAAGGAACUGAGUGGCAUCAUCAGCACGGAUAAAUGACUCUAUUGCAUCACUAACAAGUCCUUCCCUAAGUUGCGCCUUAGCAACCUGACUCCAAACUGUAUCCUCUUCGACACGGAAUGCAAACUCAACAGCUCGCUCGAUACUUCUAAUGUUGUCUAGUAGCACAUUAACGGCUUGAACAUUCAAAUUAAAUUUCUUGAAAAUAGAAAAUCCUUCCUCAUACAACUGGGCUUCCACAGCCACUUCCCCAACAGCAGGUCCAUCAAAAUUAUCCAAUCUGUUAACAUAGUCCAUGACUCUUGACGGAUCUGCCUUGAUAGCUGUCAAAAUUAGCAGAUUUUGAAGGUUGGAGUUCCCGCUAAAAGCUGAGUUCUGAAGCACAAUCUUUUCGAGAAGCUCAAUGAGCUCAUGAGGUAGAUCUGCUGUCAUGAAAGCUUUAACAGCAGCUGAUACUUGUUCAGGGCUCUUGCUUUCCGGUAAAGCAGUUGAUACAACCUGAUCAAUAAGCUGCCUUCGAUAUUCAUUUUCAGAAAUAAGAACCUUAUCCCAGAGAUUUUCAUCCAUCCUUUCAACAACAUACCUGUAACCAAGAAGAAACACGUAAGUACACGGCACUGGAUGCCCAAACACGUAAGUACAAGGCACUGAAUGCCCAAACAGCAAGAUUUCCACAUACCUAGCUUGCAAUUUAAACAAUGAGUUCUUAUUUGUGACAUUGAUGAGCUCAUCAUCACACUGUCCUCUUUGGUAAGCCACAACUGCAAGGGUGGGAUCCCGCUUCUCGCAGUACUUACCAACAACUCGGGAGUCAUAGUAAGGGUUGGUAGUCAGGAAGUGCUCUGGAUUAUUGUUGCUGUCAAUUAUAAUUUUACCCAGGGCAUUGUGGACAUGCACAUCUUGACUUCCUUCACUAACCAGAUGCUCGAGGAACUGAGUGAGAAGGCGAAGUCGGUUUCUGGAAAAUAAUAUGGAAAGUUAGACUUAAGAUACCAAGUCAAGGAUAAUAAACACAAGAAAGUAUAAAUUAGGAUAAACCUCUUCUCACACUCCUCGACAAGAGGUUCAACUGGAAGUAAGGAACGAACAGAAAGGAUGAGACCUUUGAUGAAAUCCUCUGGGCAUUCAUCAUCCAACAAUUGCCCCACGACUAAGGGGGCAUUGCUAGGAUUCACCUAUGAAGAGAUACAUGGUGUAAAUGGAUGAUCAACUAAUCUAAUACAUUAACGAUCUGUUAAAAGACCCAGUACCUUCUGCACAUAACCUUCAAUAUAACGAAGCAUGUUGCUGGUGUAGAGGUAAUGAGUGAGAUCUGGGACAAACCCAAAGCGAUCACAAACAUUGAUCAGCGGACGAGCGUCAGGAAGUUUAGCUUCCAUCAGAAAGUUCUUAGUUUUUUCAGGGUCAUAGAAAUUGGAUUCUCUCGUCACACGCUCCACUUCUUUUAUCUGGCCAGUUUUUGCAGCAGCCUCAAUGUACUUGAAGUGAAUCUCAGGAUCCUCACUGCUCCAAAAUAAAUACUAUAUGGAAUUAGCAUCGUAAAAUUAGUUAACAGAAGCAGGUGUUUUUGGAAGUUACCUCAUACUGAGAUAUGAACCCAAGAAAAAGUACAGCCCUUCAUAUGACUUGAAUUGCUCGAAAAUUUUGAUACAUGAAUCCACUCCCAACUGCUCACAGUAUUCUUUGCAAGUCUGCAUAAACAGCUUACCCAUCAGUUUCAACCAGGAUAACUUGUUCUUGCAAGAAAAAAGUGUAUACGCACCUGCACAAUUAUCUGCAGAUUUCCUCUAAGAUUGACCAGCAAAAGGUCCCUCAUACACUCCAAAGCCCAUUCACAAGAAAGGGUACCAAAAAAAUCCACAAGAGCCUGAUAUAAAAUGAAAAAUUAGCCAUCCAUAACUUAUCACCAAUUGAAACCUAGCUCAAGCACUUGGAAUACCUGUGGUUCAAUUGCAUGGGUAUUAACAAUAACACGCUUGAUGUCUGGCAACUCCGAGUAGUGCUGCAUGGACCGUAGGGGAAAGUAUUAGUUAGCAAGUGUACUAAAAAAACAAAGAGAGAACAUACAUGAUAUUCCAAGAAACAAAGGUUUUAUUUACCUUAAGAGAUUGAAUGAACAGCCCAGCUUUUUCACAGAGUUGAGCAAUACGCGGACGAUCAUAGUGAGUGAACAUCCCAUUGGCAAGAAUUGCAUCAGCCACAUUGGGAAACGUUACCAAAUUGAUCUCGAGCACCUACAAGAGAAGAAUUGGCAGAAACUUGAGAUGAUUUAGGAAGCUUAUUAACUCACAGACUGUCAUAAUUCGAUGAAAUAAGUCUUGUUCUACCUUUGUCUGAAGAAAUCCAUGCUCAGGUAAAUUUGGUUUCAGAACAUCCAAUAAAAAUGCUGUGGCUUCUCUAAUCAAGUUCCUCUGCCACAAAAGAAAAAAGAGUCAGUUGGACCUUUUUAAGAGCACCUACACAGCCCUUUUUCGCAACAAAAUUCCAGUAAUUAAUCCCAAGUACCUGAAGAAAGAGAUCUGUGAUGGUAUUAUAAUCAACUGGGCAUCCUCCCUCCAUUUGGGACAUCAUUAAAGCAAAAUUCACAGCCCCCUGCAACUCGAUGUUACAAUAAUCAGGAAGUUUUUCACAUAACAUAAGAAAAUGUAAGACACGGCAUUCAAGGUAAAGGUACUAAGAGUAAACAACUUAAAUGUUUGUUAAAUAUAUGGUUUCUCAAGUUAUUAGUUGGUCUCCAAAGAUUGAUUCCACUGACCUGAGGAUCUGUUCGAAGAAUGGUUUGCAAGAGAAAUAGGUAGUCAGGCGUGUACCCAACCUAAAAAAGCAACAACAGUUCAGUAUUUAAAGAAUUUUAAAAAAUAUUCUAGCAAUAAUAGAGAAUUCAUGCUAUUGACCUGCUUCGAGUAGAUUAAAAUUUUGUCAAACUCCCUCCUUUCUGCAAAGGCAGCAACAACUUUGGGGGUCACCUUCGCUUUAAUGUAUAUUUUCAGUGCAAGAUCAUUGUCCACAGUCUGAAACGCAUAUUCACCAGAAUCAAGAGGUUAAAGUCAAGACUAUAAAGAGCAAAACAUUUUGUGUUUGAUCACAAGUCAAACCUUCACAAGGUCUCCUAGCGUCUCACUGCAUUCCAAUUUGUCCUCUGCCAACCAAUUUUCCAGAAGAUUCUUUUUAUUCUGAUUCACAACAAGGCGAGCAAGCUCCAAGGACUCAAACUCAUUAAGCUUCCCUUUAGUUAAAAGGGUCCCGAAGUACUGUAGCAGCGGAGGGGUUUGCCCAGCUUGAACAGGAACACUCUGACAAAAAUUAUUAACAGCAGUUAGUUAUAAAACCUGACAUUUCAAUCUUCCUAGCAGUGGAAGAGUAAAUCACAGGAAACAGUGAAAACCUGAAAUUUAGCAACUGUAUCAGGUGUUCGAAGGAUUCCCUGAGGAGAUUCUGCAGCAAGCUCAGCAGCCUCUUUAUACUUUGUUUGCGCAAAAAGCUCUUGAAAACGUUGGACAACCUAAGAUACAGGCCAAAAGAUAUCAACAAGAAAGAAGCAUAGCGACUUUAAAGGACUGGUGAAUAAGCAAAGAAGAUAUCAAUAUACCCGAAGCAAUGAUGUUAAAUCAGUUUUAGCAUCACUUCGAGGAUAGCAUAUUUUGUCUAAAUAUGAGAUGAGGUGAGUUAGUUAUACUUCCAAUGGAGGAAAACUUAUCUAUCAACUAUAGUUUCUCUGCAUCACAUCAGCCAUUUUUAACUGUGAAUCUUGCUCUGUAAAGGAUGCUUAUGAUAUUAUCGAAAAAGUGUUUUGCCAGUCAUUUUUAUUCUGCUCAGUUUGGUUCUCACGUUCAACAUCCCAAAUAAUCAUUGAUAGCAAUCACAACUACACUACUUGUUCAUCCAUUAAUAUACAAUAGCAUUAACGACAUGGACUAAGAUUACACAUACUACUUACCAAGUUUUCUGCUCCAGGAAGGUUUCCUCUUUUCGCAAGACUGACAGCGAGCUCUAAAUUGUUCAGCUGUAACAUGUGGGGCAGAUAUUAGGAUAGCUCUCCUACCAAGGAACAAUAGUACUUCAAAGUUAAAAAAUACCUGGCCACUAACAAAAGGCACUAUAGUUGCAUCAUUUACGGUUCCAAGAAGAACUUGCCCCCUCCUAUUGAUUGCAUAAAAACCCCCAACUGACUGGGCUUCAGAAGUUAAAAAUAUGGGAUCUGGACUUAUCCGAUUUCUGUACACAGCAGUCGCUGUCUCCAGAUCGUACACAAAUAGUAGCCCAAGCUUGGUGAUGACAUAUAUCAAACCGUAUUUAUGAGACACCUGAAAGAUGAUAAAAUAAACAUCGUGAAAUUUCCCAUUGACGUUUCUAGAAACAGAGGACCCAGAUUAGAGCUACAAACCUGCAUAGCAACUGGGAAAUCAUCUUGAAAAUCUGGAGGGAAAAAGAGAUCUGCUUGCUUCUUGCUAAAAGAUGGUUUACCUGGAGACGAAUAAAACAGUCAGGACUCAGGACUCUGGACUAUGCACAAGAAAAUAUUCGAUACAAUACAGACCACCAGAUAUGAUUCUUCUGGACACAAUAUAGUAAGAAUCGGUUUUUCAAAAGUUGAUAUUUCACAGGUUUACUUGCAGAGCCACACAAGAAAAUCUAUAACAAAGUUGAAACAAGCUUUCUCAUAAAGCAGAUGAGAGUGACAGAGAAACCAAAACCUGGUUGGGCACCAAGCUCAAUCACAUGAAGCUUAGAUGUGAUCUGCCCAGCAUUUACACUCUUGGUUGCAAAUGAGAUAAGGGUAGAAGGAUUUUCAUUUCCAGGGACCUGCUCGGAUAAAGCAAGUUGAAAUUUGUAUUCCAACCAAGCUGAAAUUUACAUAAAAGGGAAAACAAAAAUAUCAGUAUCUGACCUUAAAUUGAGCAAAUGAAGCAGCAUGAGCUUCAAGAGCUUGACUACGCUGCUGAUCCACAGAAAAAAGCUGCAUAUUCCCUUUCACCAAUUGCGGUCUCUAGAGAAUAAUGCAAUAACUUAACAUUAGAAAUGAAAAGUUGAACCAAUUCAGAGCAACAAAAUAAAUACUCGAUACGAAUUAUAUACAACAACAGACAAUAAAAUACAUAACCCAGUUACCUCAGGUGCACCAGGGGCAAUUCCGAUCAAAACUAGCCACUUUUCCGAGGGAUCACAUUUAUAGUUUAUAAUCUGAUUAUUUGCCAAGUUCGCUGUCCUAUCAAACAGCUUAACAGGUGCAGAAUCACCUGCACAGAGAAGAAAUAAAGACAUACAAAUCAGAACCAACACGAAAAGAAAUUUCCUGGUGCCAAGUUGAGAUAGAACUGCAGUAUACCCUCAAUCGACCAGUGAUAUACAGAGGUUUGUGUGACCAAACCCAACAUCUUUGGGGAAAUCCACUUCCAAAAGACGACCUACACAUUAAUGGGGUAGGCUAAAGUUCAAAUCCCAACGUGAUCAUAAACUAUCAUUGCUAGAUUAAGAAAUAAAAUCUCACCUGCUCAGGCAUCUGAUGUGAUUUUAUUUUCGAUUUAGCCUCAAUGUUGAAUAUUUGCAGAUGAUCCUGAGUGGUUCCUUGUAGUUGAGCUUUGAUAGAAAAAAAAAAAAAAGUUAACUACCUUCAACGAAAAAUUACAAAAUGGAGGGUAGUACAAACUGUAGAAUAGAAAGCAAAUUACAAAAUUUCCUCGACAUGGUGUCUCUUACGAUGCGAAGCAACAGUUUCGAUUCUGAUGCAAACUAACUACUGAUCAAGAAUGAUAGUACAUUUUGCACCCAACCUACACAGGGGUUAACCGCUUAACAAAGAAACUGAAAACGACAGAAAUGAUUUUUCCAAUAACAAAUUAUUAUUCUUGCCACUACACUAUCACUGUCAACAUGACUCAUGAAGCAUCCAAGAUUACUUUAUCCAGUUAAGCUAGCACCUGGUUUUCAACUAUAAGCAAACAGAAUUUUUUUCUCAUAUGGUACUACCUUUCAACGCAAGAAUCCUUGUAUUGGGAUUCAUUAGAGCAGAAUCUGCAGUGAUGGGUCUCCUCAAAGGCUGCGUAGGCAUACUCAUGUCUAUAAUCACAACACUGUUCUGUGGCGCUGUUUCUCUCACACAAAUGUACUUGUCCGACUCCAUUGUGACACUCGUAAAGUUAAUGGAUUGCGGAUUGAUCCCAACGCUCGUAAGCUGCAAACAUGCAUAGUAUAGUUCAGAACACUGACAAGUAGAUUUCUCUCACAUAUCUCAAAUCCGAAAAACAUUGUCCACUGCAUGACAGUUCACUAAACAAAAGCUAAAAGUUCUUCUCCUAGACAGAUCUGAAAGUUAUAAAUCCAGAGAAUAACUUGUUUGAAUUCCUCGCUAUGCCAAUUUCAAAGUGAACACCUUCGUAGACUAGCAUUUACUAUAGGAAUUAAGUCAAUUCUUCGAACACCCAAAUGUUUAAUUUAAAUUAGCAUCGAUUCUUCAAACUCAGUUACUGUGAGAGGGAGUUCUUCCAGAAGCGGAAACAAUGGCGGAUAGAAAAAUAUGAAAAGAAGAAAGAAACUUACCGUUAGGAUCUCCUUCAUGUUGAUCGGAGCGUUUGCAGCAGCCAUGGUGGUAAUGGAGGUACAGGGAUCAGAAAAUCACGAGCCAGAAAAGAAUUUCAGUAAGAAUAAAAGAGGGACUGUAACUGUAAAAAGGGGACAGGUGAAGAAGAAGAAGAGGAGAAGACAAAAUUUCCCAGUCGCUGCGAGAUCUAAGGCAGCGAUUUGCCCCUUCUCAAGUUACUGCAAAUGAAAGAAAAGUGAGAUUUUUUGCUUAAAUGACAUUUGACUAGAAGUGGAAAGAACCAGAUUUGGGUGACGAUAUUAAUGGGCCUAUGAUUUCUUAAUAUAGCCCAAUAGUGGGUUUUUUUACUAUUAGUUACUUGGCUAUUGGAAAUUUUUUUUAAAACUUCAACAAUACUAACACAUAUCAUUAUGCUAUAUGUCUAUGUUGAGCAUAUACAUAUCAUUAUGCUAUAUGUUUAUGUUGAGCAUAUACAUAUACAUGUUUUAAUUUUACUUACACACCGCGACAUAUUAAAAUUUGUAAAUGGUUAACGAAAUGACUUGCGAAUUUUCUGUCACUAUUCAAAAUCUUAUUAUAUCCAACACAAAGCAACAAAUGAAUACAUAUUGCCCUUUUAUGUAUAAUUUUCAACAACAUAUCGACAGCUUAAAGACACAGUCGAUGUGGGCAAGUUUUACCCAAUUAAUUGUCAAAAGAAACAAAAAAAUAUUUGGCAUCCUUUGCUUUCCACCUCACUCCAAAGUUCAAGUGUACAAAUACAGUUAAAAGCCCCUUCCAUUUUCAUCCUAAUAGAACACUCUAAUAAGCAUAAGAAAAAACAAAACAUUUGACAAUUACAUUUGGGAAAGAAAAAUUAUGAACAUCAUGAUAUCAAAAAAAAAAAAAAAAAAUUCGAGGCACCCGAUCGAUGGAGCAAAGAGGGAGAAUAAAAAUAAAAAAGAAAGAUCGAUAUUUCAACUUAUUUGGUCUCUUUGGUCACGAACGGGAAAUAAUACGUGUGUAAAGGAACUCAUUCCACGUGUCAGGUAAACCGGGAAGACACCAAUGGAUACAAUCGGCAUAAGUGUCGGGAUCAGCUUGUUGCUCCGGCGUCAGCAUUUUGCCUUGUCGGAUUGUGUGAACCGAAGUGUGGGCAUCUUUCCGGUAUUCGGAGAGUCUCGUAAUGUUGAGGAAGUAAACCGGAACUUUAAGAGAAUGCGUGACGUUUUCCGCUACUGAAAACAGCCUGUAGUCUGUUCCUACGCUGAACGGCAUUGACAUGUUUAGGAUCGGUGUCGUCUCCAAUGCACACUUUGUCCCAUCUGGAUUCUCCCAGUCCAAGCUCCUAUGAUAAUAACAAAUUGCAAAUAAGGAUAUUUUGUUAAUCUUCGUUACACCAACUCAUUUUAAUAAAUGAUUAUAGAGAAUUUAUUAUUUAUGCUAAUUUUGUAUAUUACGUAGGCUUUUCAAGAAGGACAAAGACUUGUUAUCUCUUUUUUCUAGUAGUUGCUUGGAUUUCAAGUUGCGGUACGUCCACAGGUUAAUAAUAUUUUUAGAAUUUGGUACUGAUAAAUGAUUGUACAUGUGCUUGUUAUGUGUUUUUGAAGGCAAAGAAAUAACUAACAGUCAUAUAUCUAUAACAAAGCUAACAGAAAAUAAGCUAAGCGCCAUUACAUAUUACAAUUGACAAUCUAUCACUAAUCUAAAAAAAAAUGAUCAACCUUCUCCUAUUUUGAAAUCGGUACUGGCAAGAAAACUAUGAAAAUAUGUUAAUAACUAAUUAUAAUGUUAUGUCCAGUACUCUCAUUUAUAUAUUUAUUUAGCAGGUCGAAUGAAUUAAGUAAGAAGGCGUUAUGUUCUAAGAAGCAAGAAAACACAUAUCACAUAUGGUACUCAGAUACUAAGCUAAAGUUCUAUGAUCAAUUAAUGGCCAUAUUUAUAUUAUUAUCUCUAACAUCUUUAUGGAGAUUAUGAAAUGGUGACACUAGUCAAACAUGGAGAGUGACCUCUCAAUUUGUCAGGUCAUAUUGCAAGCAAAGCAUCACUCGUUAAAAGAUCAGUUUAUUACUUAAAAAAUCGUAAUUAAGGAGAAGUAGAGAAAAAAAAAAAAAAAAAAGCAAAGAAGAAGAAGGAUUAAUUACUUGAUGUGGAGAGGAGACAUGCUAGCGAAGAAGACAGUGGUACGUAGAGGAUCAAUAUUGCGUUCCACCCAAUUUCCCCAAGUCCUUAACACUCUCUGGUACGCUACUGGCCGUUGGAUCUCUUCGUACUCAGUGUCCCCUUUAUCGAACGAUCCUCGUCUGCUUUUCAUCAAUGAUACAAAUCCCAAUUCAUGACUUUGUAAUUUACAUACACAUAUUGAUAUAGGCACCAUAAAUGUAAUUAGCACUUACAGGACUUUCAUGGCGAAUGUGUUCAUCCACCAGAUGUAAGUGUUGAAAACAAGAAAGUCAACGCCUUUCCAGUUGACUCCAUGCUUUUCGAUGGACUCAGGCAUUAUUAUACGGUUAAGUAUACUAUGCAUAUUUGGAUCAUCUGAAUUCGAUUCCACCAAAAAUGGCGCCCAAUAAAACUCCACCGUCGCAUUAUAAUCCUAUUAUUUUAAAAACCAAACCAAAAAGCAUAUAUUAAAUAACUAGAAAACAUCCAAACUUAACUACUCUCAAAAUCAGCAACUCCACCAAUUACAUUAUUUUAUAUCUAAUUACUAAUUAGUCGAAGUUUGUUAAUUACCUCGAUUCGGAAGACGGAGAGAGAACCGGUUUUGUUCAAGCUCUUUCGACCGGGAGGAACCACUGAUUGAACCAAACAAACCAUUGAUUCCCACUGAUUCCGGUUUAGCGAAUCCCCAACAAACAUCAUUCUCUUGUUUCGUAGCUUCUCUAGCAGCAAUUUCGCUUUAAACCUUCACCGAAUCAAACAAAACCAAGUGAAGUUAAGUUUAACCGUAACUAAAUCAACCUAAUAGUCAAUGCAAAAAAAAAACAGAGCAUUUUUUGGUUUACUUUGGUAAAGAACAAUCUCUGGGUUGCCAUCUCCAAUUCUGAUACAGAGAAUCUCUCCUUCCGUUCCUCAUGCAAGUCACUUGCGCCGUUAAGAACUCACAUUGAUCUUCUUUAUACAACGGAUGCGUCUCGUUAUCGAAAACCCAUUCUCCGGUGAACAGAUCGCACUCCUCCGGCGGCAAUUCAACGUCACCUCCGUCGUCUUCUUCCUCCGUCACAGCAAACAGUUCAAUCUUCUUCCCUUCCUCUGUUUUCAAUACUUCCUCCUGAAUUGCCUCUGAUUCUCUCACUAAUUCUUGAUCAGGUUCUGGGUUUUUGAUCGAUUCCCGAAUUGGGUCUGCGUUUCCCGCGGAAUCAUGUAUUGGGUCUGCGUUUCCCGUGGAAUCAUGAAUUGGGUCAGAGUUCUUGAUCGAUUCUUGAAUUGGUAGUGACGUAACCUCUUUGAUCGGUUUAGCCUCCUCUUGGCUUCCUUGGACGUCGUUAGGUUUUGAGCUGGAGAAAGGAAACUCGGCUAUGGAUUUGACGUCCUCGUUGUACAUGAAGAUCCCGAAGAGGAAAACAGAGAAGACGACGACGAAGAUCGAGAGAUUACUGUUCUUCCUCUGUUUCAUUGUCACUCCUGUUUCGAACAAUGGGAAUUUUCUUCUCCAGGGUUGCAUCUGAGUUAAAAGAAAGAGUGGAAGAAGAAGAGAAAUGAAAAAAAACAAAAACAAAAACAAAAACAAAAACAAAAUCGAGGCUCUCGAAAAUGUCAGUAUGUUUGUGAGAGAGGAAGAAAGAUCGAUGGGAAUAUAAGAGCAACGAAUAAAGGAUAAUUAAAAACAAAUCGAAAUUGUUAUAGUUAGCGUUAAUUAGUUUUGUGAUUAAUAGUUUGGUGAGGUGUGUUUAUCUUGAACUGGUUUUCAAAAGCUUUCUGGUGAAGAAUUUUUUUUUAAUCAAGUUGAUCAAAAAGCUUUCGCUUAACUAAUCUAUUUUCAAGUUGUAGAGUUUGGAGAGAAGAGUGGAUUCAAAGAUUCUAAAGAUUGUCUCAAUCUUCACCUAAAGAAAGGGACUAGAGAAACAACAAUUGUAGAAGCAGCAUUUUGUUAAUUAUACUUGCUUCAACACUUUUAGAAGCAUACUUCUUUUCAUUUUCACUAUCCACAUUAUUUCCUGCUUGCUUACCACCAGAGUUUAUGUUCGAUCCAUUUAUAUUUUCCGAUCAUGAAUUAUAAUGUUUUUUCUUUUAAUAAUUUGAGUAUUUCCUAAAUAUUGAAAAAUGAAACCUAUAUUUGCCAGUUUAACUAUAUAUGCGCAUUACUCACGUAUUUCAUAAUAAGUUCUUAGAAAAGGUAGUUUAGUAUUGAAACAUGUUUUCUGUUUAGAUACAUUAUACAAUAUAUAUCUAUGUUGACUACAUAUUAUACAUAUAUUAUACAUAUAUUAUACAUAUAUAUUGUAUACAGUAAAACAGAAUGUCCACAGCGGCCUAAUGACUACACACACACUCUAUCUCUUCUUCACGAAUAUGUGAAGGGUUCAAAUCCUGGGUAUGGUUGUUUCUCUAACCAAAAUAUAUGUAUAUAUAUAUAACCUCAAUUUGAUAUACUUUAACAAACAAACAAAAAACUUCAACUGGAUAGCCUUUGUUAUAUAUAUAUAUAUAUAUAUAUAUAUAUAUAUAUAUAUAUUCUUUAUCAAUGAAACAUAUUUAUAUAUGAAGAACGCAUCGAUAUCUUGCGUCUAAAUCCUAAACUAGUUCUAGCAUCUGUUGUUGUCUUACUUAGAAUUGGUUGUGAACUUGUGAUACAUUCACAUACUUUUAUGUUAAACACAAUUUUACUCCCCCUAAUUACCAAUCUAAGACUAGAUUAGCACCAGACUAUUCUUUCGUUUUCGAAAACAAUAAACUAAUCUUUCGUUUUCUGUAAUAAUCAUGCGCCCAUCGCUGUUGAGGGUGAAGCAUCCGUGUUCGUUAAGAGUGAAAUUACUAAAUAUUUAUAUUCAUUUUGCAAAAUAAAAGGAAAAUAAAAAAGACUGGUCAAGAACUCAAAAUGAUAUAAGAAGCUUUGUUUGGGAAAAUUAAAGGCUAAGGAAUCUCAUGAAACACACAUUGACACAUACAAUAUCAAUAUAUAUACGCACCAACCAUUACCAAUCCAUUUAAUUUACAUCAUCUGCUACUUCUUCAUAUAUGUAAUUAUAUAUAUUUAUUUUCUUGGUAGGUCGAUUGUGUAUACAGUAUACUUUAUCACGACUCCAUUUGGCUUUAGUUGUUAGUUUAAUACUUGAAUCCUUUUGCUUUGAACCAAAGCCAAAGGAACCCAACCAAAAGCUUUUGUAUUUUUGUUUGUGUGAGUCGGAGUCGGAUAAUAUACUUACCCAUUUUUAAUUCUAUGAUGAUUUUACCUAAAGCUCACCACGUGCGUAAUGAUGUGGCUGAAGCACACGUGCGUCCAAUAACAUAUUUGGCAUUCUCUCAUUAAAAACUUACAUUUAAAUUCCAAUCAAAGGAAAUUUGGCUUUGAACGAAUUAUCAACAACUAGAUCACCAUAAAUUGGGUUGAAGAUUUUUAUAUUGAAUUAGGAUCAAGUUGAUUCAAAUAUUUUUUCAUUAGUUUGAAUUUCCUAAUACGAGAGGGAGAUAUUUCUUCAUUCUUUCUACAAUACUUUCAGACCAAAUUUUAAGCAUUUUGAUAACUCAAUCGCGCACCAAAGAGUUCUAUAAAAAAAGGACGUCUGGCAGAUUUCAUCACUGAGAAGGCAAUAACAAUUCUAAUAAAUAAAUAAAAAAUAUAUAUAUAUAUAUACACUAUAUCGGAAUUGGUAUUGGUAUCUGAGUUUCGGCCAUAUAUACGGUUUGAAGUGCCUACAAAAUAAGAAAUCUCCGUCUUCGCUAGCUCAUUUGUGUAAGUAAUGGGAAGAGAGAAAGUAAAUAAUGUAUAUAUUAUUGCUUGACCAUACACAGUUUAAAAUUACAAGAAAAUGAAAGAAAACACAAAUCAACGAAUAUAGAGACUAAAAAGCUAUUAGUCCAUUGUCCAGUUAACUUUUUAUCUUUUCUUCUCGUAGCGACUACAAACCAUAUACUAACAACAGUAACAAUUAAAGAAAGUUACAAAAAUUAAAGAAUUAAAUUGCAGAGAUGGACCAAAACCCAAUUAUAAAAGCCCAUCUUUUCUUAGUGUGUUUACGCCACAGUCUGCUCCUUCUCUCUGUACAUUUGCUCAGCCCACGACAAUAUCCGAACCCUCUCAUUCAUCCCAAAGCCUCUCUCCGACACCACACUGUCUUUAACCAAUGAGUUAACCCACGACACAUCUGGCUCAUUCCUGUAAUCCCUCGCUACAUCGUUGUUGUUUCCAUGGAUUCCAAAAGAAACGCUUCUCCUCAUCUUAUUCAGCUCCUCUCCUUGCAUUCCCCACUCGAGCUUCCCACUCGGCGAUCCCCAAUCCGAGAGACUCGUUGGAGUUGCUGCUGCUUGAGCAGCUGGUUUGAAACUCAAGCUGCGUUUCGCAAACGCAGAUGAUCUAGCGUUCAUAACUGCAGCAGCCACAGCCGCAGAAGAAUCAAAACCAUGGUGAGAAGGUGCUGGCCUCACAGGGGAAGAUGGAUAAUGCUGGUUCAUGCUUUGGCCUAUCUGAGACUUCCUACUUGGGGAGGACACAUAAGACCCGAAUGUCUCUUCAACAUUACCAAAACCACGGAGUCUCAGUUCCAUCUCCAUCUCCAUAUCCAUAUCUCUAGCACUCAAUGUCGACUUCAAUCUGCUUCCUCCGUUAAGCUGCAAAGCCGGUGGAGUCAGAGUAUUGACUCUGUUUUGCCAUGACCCGCCGCUUCUUGGAGAUGAGCCAACACCGUUAGCCAUCGGAGAUACAGGAGGAGUCGAAACACCUGAAGAAUACGCAAGAGGAGACAAACACGGCAUCAUCUCCAAGCUGCUAAACGGAGACUGAGCCACUGCUGAGCCAGUUGAAGCAUUAACAGGUCUCAUCUCUUCACGUUUAUGCGCAAAGAAACAAACUUUCCUUGCACAACCCGUCUCAUCUUUACAAAGCCUAGUUUUAUACUGCGCCGGGUGAAGCCAAGACUCGAAAACUCCAUGAGCGUACUCGCAAGAAUCUCCUUUUGGGCAUGACCCUUUACGGAACUCGGGACAAGGGACACAAGUGUAAGGAUACUUCCUUGGAUCUCUCCUCCUCGCGUUCUCUCCAGGAUGCACAAAAGCACACUCGGUCCAAUCAUGGGAAUAAGCCCUUGAACACGGCUUAACCUUAAAGCUAUACAUCCUAAAUUCAUCACUUCCAUAAACACCUUCGUUAAUAUCAGGUAAAGAAGCAUCAGCUGGAUACUUUGACACUAUCUUGAUCUCUUCUUCUUCUUCUUCAACCGCUUCAUUGAUCAAUCCACCACCUCCUCGCAGCAACAUCUCAACGGUUUUCUUCCUCGGAGUAGCCACGAAUCUCGAAACCCGAACAAACAGAUCCAAAGGUUGAUUCCCAUUAGCAUCAACAGAGUUAGCCAAAGCAGAAGCAUCAAGCAAAGUGAUGAUGACUUCAAUCAUAUUCACGGAACAUCCAGCGACAGCGCAGUGAAGUGCAGUGACUCUCUCUUCACCGCAAGCUCUGUUCACAUCGGCUUUUCUAGUGGAGAUGAUGAAAUUCAAAACCUUUUUGCUUCCGUACAUAGCAGCAACCAUUAGAGGCGUCCUUUCUUCGAGACCCAUCUUAUUCGACCCGACCCGUUUGCAAUACCAUAACCCUGGCUGGUCCAAGUCGAGACCUUUCUCUUCGAUCUCUCUCUUGAACGAUUGGAGAUCAUCACAGGCGGCGAAUUCGAGGAGACCCAUGGUUUCUUCUUUCCUUAAUUCGAUUUCGGUUAGGGUUCUGGAAGAGCAGAGAUUGCUCUUUGGACCACUACACAUAAUAUAUCCUGUAAAUUCAGAAAAACGAUUGAUUGAUGAUGAGAAACUAAUAAAGAGAAUAAAUAGCCGCAAUAGAAACUGAAUUUUAAGCUCUCUUUCAAGUUGUUACUUUUUCUAAUUUCUAAGAUUCUUAUGCUGAAUUUGAUGCCGCAAUUUUAGCGGAUAUGAUAAAGUAUAACGUACUUUCUACUGCCACAAGCUAACGAUCGUUUCUACUCAAAUACUUUUUCUCUCCGUUGAAAAGUUCCAACCAAAAAUUUUAAUUUUUCAGAAAAGGGGUCAACGAUAAAGAAAGAAAUUUAGAGAUUUCAGUUCAGUAAAUGAAAAACCAAACAACUCAAAAUCCUUUAGUUUCUAGAGAAAGCAAAACUUGCAAGCGAAAGGACAUUGAAAGAAAAUUCCACAGAAGAAGAAAAAGACACAAACCUGGAAUGAAGUGGGAAAGAAUACAAAUUGAAGAAAGUUGGAAGCUUUGUUAGAGAAUUAGGUGAUGAAGAUGAAGAAACUAGUGAGAAAUAGGUUGGGGUUUUUAAGAAGAAUGGGGGUUGAGAGUUAGAGGAGGCUUCUUAUAUAAAGGUGCUUCGUUGCGAUGAAGGAGAGAGGAAGGUGCGCUCUUUCUUUCCUUUACUUUCUUGGUCUUCCUUACUUUAUUUUAUCCCUUUAAUUAAUUCAUAUAGUUUCUCUAUUCUCAUCGUCAAAUAAAUGUUUUAGGUCAAAAAGUCAAAAAGGCGAAACCAAAUUUUCAAAGGCGAAGAUGUCGCUCUUCUGCUGACUGUUCCUUCUACUGAAAAUCCGUCUUUUUUUUUUCCUGGAAACUGAUAAGGAAAUCAACUAAUUUUACUUAUUUUAUUAAUAAAAUAUAUUUCAAAGCUGUUUCAUAAUAUUGAUUUUUUUUUUGCCUAAUAUAGUAUGUGGGUGGAAAUGAUAAACUGGAGAGUGUAAAAAGAGAGGGACCCACCACUAAAAAACUGACUGACUAAACCGGUAACACGUCAACACGCGUGUGCGAGUCCCACCACAAGACACAAACACGCGCUUUUCAAGUUACCAGUCAACUCCCUACUAGUUGCUUAAGUUUGAGCUGUCUUUGUUUCCAUCAAGAUCCGAGCCAAAAACUCCAAAUACGAACUGAUUGAUUAUUUAUGUUAGGCCUUUUACUUAUUUAGUUGAAACAAAUCUAUCGUAUCAUAUAAUUUGAUUUCGGUGUAAGUCCAUUUCAUUCUAUCUUGGCUUUACGUUUCGGUUAUUCCAAAAUCCACCAACUUUGCAUUCCUUUUUAUCUAUUUCGAAUUAUAUUUUAUAUUUUCGUUCAUAAUUUAUGGAGUAUUUUUUAAAAAAAGAAAAAUACAUGCUAAUUUUUUGAUAUUGGAUAUUUCAACAUGUUCCUAAAUAAUCUUUUUGUUUAUUCAUACGCGUAGGGAGAGAGCGCGUGUAGGAGAGAAAGAGAGUCAAAAUCAUGCACGCCUUCGCUAAUCUUCUUCGUUCCCUUUUAAGUGGGCGACAAAAAUGUCUUUCACUUGGCUGCUCUCUCAGUUUCAUCUUCCCUUUACUUUAUUUGCGCACUACUAGCUAAAAUUAUUCUUCCAAAUCUUUUACGAUAAUUGUCAUUGAUCACACACCAAACAUGAUUGUUUUUUUCUUAUUCUUUUAUUUGCUAAAGCGAUCAUGACUGUGGGAAUAAUAAUACAUAUAUGGACUUCAGGACUUCGGCAACUUGUGGCCAUAUUAUCCUAUGUACCAAGUGGGUUGAUCAAGCGACAAAACUUGGAAAAUAAAAUAAAGUAGAAGACUGCAUGCAUUCGUGGUCAAAAUCACUAUUACCAUAUUUAUAAUGCUCAUCUUCCAAUUAUUGGGGCUUUUCCUCUCAUUUAUUUUUCACAUCACAUUGUGUGUAUAUCAGAUUUUUGACUACAUAACAACAUAUAUACAAAAUAGUAGGAUGACGGAGGUGUCAUUAGAAUAAGCCCAAAAACAUACAAACAAGUAAAUUAUGACUUGGAGGUGUCAUAUAUUCCAUUAUAGUACUCGUGUAUUGUCUACAAUAUAAACACGACGUGAAUUGAUUAAGAAAAUAUUUCUGAAAAAAAAAAAUUAUGGGCUUGCGAUAUGGGCCAUAUGGCAUAUGGGAACUAUAUAAAGAUGGUUAAAGAUAUAGAGAACAAAAUAUAUUUAUUUAUGAUCGCAAAGCCCACUGUCGUCGUUGCACCUUGCAAAUUUUUGUGUAUCUCCCACUAACCGAAAAACUGUUUUGUUUAACUAAAUUAUCUUUACUCCACUUGAGUUAGUAUUAAAAAGAGGCUUAGGAGCCCGAUUAUAUUACAUUGUUAAUUAUUACAAUAUCAGAGACAUAAGGAAUGAAUUAUACUCCCUCCGUUUCAUAAAAAAUGUUAUUCUGACAUUUUUCACACAUAUUAAGAAAAUUAUUAAAGUACAAUUUUAUCCCUUAUUAAUACAUUAAAUAAUUUGUUUUUAUCUAAUAAAUACAUUAAAUUAAUAUGGUUAAAACUGGAAUAUUGUUUAAAAUUUUGCAUUGAAAAUAUAAAACGACACUCUUUGUGAAACAAAAAUAAAACCUUAAAACGACACUCUUUGUGAAACGGAGGGAAUAUCGUUAAUUUAUGUUUCAACUUUUAACUAAUUGAUCGCUAAAAAGGUGUAAGGAGGUUGAGAUCAAAUGUGAUUGGAAGCUGAAACCCAUGCCGAUCCCGAGUUUACCAAACAAAAUAUGGCCUCAUAUUGUCAUAAAGAGAUAUAUCCAAAAAAUUAUUUAAUCGGGUAAUUUUUCUUUAACUACAACGAAUUAUUGGAUUUUAAAUAAAAUGCAUACUAAUUACUUAAUUAGAAAAACCAACAAUUAAAUGGACUACGUACUUUGAACAAAGAAAAAAAAAAAGAUGAAGCAGGCACGAGCUACCGUAAGUUAAGCUCUACGCCUCUACCUCCAGCUCGAAGCCCAGGCCAGUGAUUUUCAUCUAUGAAAACGCUUUUUUAAAAAAAUAUAUAAUAGAGUGAGUUCCUAAUUGCUAAUUCGGCCCAAUGUAACCAAAUACCAAUAUAUUGCUCAUAGGCCAUUGGGUUUCUUAAUUAUGACUUAUGACCCAAUGUUAUAUAGCUGCAGCUCAUCUGAGUUUUAUCGUUUGACUUUAGCUGCAUGUAACUUUAGCCCUUUAAAAAGCGACAAUAUGCUUCACAGUUCACACCUUUCCGCUUUGAUAAUUGGUGUAUAUAACCGGUGUUAACCAAAUUGUUAAAUAAUCGAUUUUCCAGCUUAUACAGCACGUGCCCAAUUAAUUCCACAAUGAAAGUUAUCCCGGAGUUGCGUAGACAACUUGUACUAUUCAAUCUUUGUUUUUUUCUACUUUAUGAUUCGUUUCGUCAAUAUGAAAAAUCAUUAUUAUCUUUAAUAUGAUUUUAUCCAGAAGAAGAACUGGACAUACGCAAUGUCGGAUUAAAAUAAUAUACUCUAUAAGGAUUUUUUUUUUUUCGGAAUACUACGCUAGAAUUUUCUUUAACAACUACUGAUCCAAAGCUGCUCUAGUGUCGGGUUAGUUUCAAUUGUUUUUAAACGGCAAGUUUCAAACGUCAAUGCUUACUUUAGGGUUUACGUUGAAAAGUAACAAGUUACUUGAGAUGAUGUUUAGAGUUAUGACUUAUGAGCUUUGUUAACCAAAAAAAAAUGCUAACAAAUUCUGUUCGACGUAAUGGACUCCUCUUGCAACAUCUUUUGCAUAAUGAAAAAGCAAUGAACCGAAUCAACAUAAUAUCAAGUUAUCAACCAUCUAUUUCUGAACAUGCUUUUCCUUUUUUUUUUUUUUUGCGUGUGUUCUUAAUUAUAUUUAUUUAUACAAUUUUUGUUUGUUACUAAAAAAUUAAAAACUAAUGAAAUGAUUUCUCGGUUUAGUACUAGCUAGGUCUUUCGAUGAGAAAAAAAUAAAAACAGAUGCGCUAAACAGAAGGAUUUCAGGGUUGUUAAGGGAGUUCGGUUUUUCGAUUUGUCGAGACUCCUCUUAAUCCACUGUUAACGCAGACAUAUAAAUCACACUAAACUCUUUUAAUCUAAUGUUCUGUUAAACUUAUACAUCGGUCUUUAGAACCAAACAUUCAUGAAAUAUAUUUAGAUUUUAACCACGGACUUCCUAUAGUUUAAGCGCACCACCGUUUAAUAUCGACACACUCGACGAGAAAACAUUGUAAUUUCCAUUAAAAAAUAUAUUUAUUUAUUGUUUUCGUUUUUUUUUUCCUUUUUUAUUUUAAAAUAGGGGAAAUAUAAGAGAUAGGCACAAUGGGUGUAUUUUAGUAUUUGUUUAGUUGGUUUCGAUUAACUUUAUUUUAACCACAUCUACAAGUAUGUAUGUUGGUGUAAAACUUCUAAAGAAUAUAUAUAUAUAUAUAUAUAUAUAUUAUAUUAGGAACCGAACCUAAACACAUAUUAAAAUAAAGUUAAACCAAACCAACUAAACAAAUGCUAAAUAUCCAUGCCUAGCUCUUUUACUUCCCGAAUUUUAAAAGAAAAACAAAAAAAAUAUAAAACAAUAAACACACAUGUCUUAUUAGUAUCAUUAACUUAAAGCCCAUAAAUACAUAAUUAAUAGUAUCACUUAAAGCUCAGAAAUACAGUAAUCUAUGGUGUAGAAGUUAAUUAUCUACGUCAAAAGUUAAUUAUCUUUUUACAUCGCUUAAUUGUGUUCUAGAACAAUUUUUUUCUUUUCCAAAAAAGGUUACAUGUCGAUAUCACAUGGCUACGACGGAUGAUUAGACUAUCGCAACUGGCCAAUCAGAAGGCGACUCCUGCUCAAUCAGUUAGACGUGGCUUAUGCCUAUUGGAGGGCAAUGAAGAACAUAUCUUCUUUGUUUUCUGGGUUCUUCUAUUUGUUUAGUUGUCUAUCAUCUCAACGACCAAUUCUCCGACAAGACCAUUUUAACAAGGAAAUUAGGAAGAAAAAAAGACUUCGGGUUGAAUUUAGCUUUCACUUUCAGUCUUAAGUUUUUCCAAAAAAAAAAAAUUGUUACAAGACCAUAAUCCAUUGAGUUUUCCUAACCAAGGAAUAGAACCAGUGUAGGCAAAGCACCAACUCUACAGUUGAGUUAUAUGAUUAAUAUAUCGGUUUAGAAUUAGAGAUCAGUAUAGCACUAUUACCAUUGGUCGUCAACGAGGCAAAGGCGUUGGUCUUCACAAUUAUUAUGGGAGGUAAGAAAUUCUGAUUCGUAAUUUUAAUAUUUCUAUCUCUGAAACUAGUUAGUUGUCAGAAUCAAAUAUUGUUGUCAUGUUUUUUCAUUUUGGCACAUGCCAACAUUGCCAUUGAUAGUGCAUAUAUAAAUGACGUAAUUAAAUGUUUUGGAACAUAUAAAGAAAUGUUCAAUUUCAAUGCAGAAUAAUUAGAUAACGUCGUGCCGAAUUUGGUUACGGCGCCGAAAUGCAUACAUAUGCAGUUUCCAGAUGACCUUAACCGCUUAUUGGUUUCUUUUGGGAUCAUAACCAUUUUUUUUUUUGUUAAAGGAUCAAGACAAUUUUCGAUAAUAUAUAAAAUCUCAAACCGAAAAUGUGUCUACAUCUGCUUUGUUUUCUUAUUUAUGAAUGCUCUUCAGAUUGCCUUGCCUUUAGAGUCAAGGCCCUUAACCAAUUUGCAAUCUUCCUUCAUUUAGGUGGAUCAGACGAUAAAAAGGAGGACUUAUUUGUUUUGAUUUUUCAAUCAAUUAUGUUAUAACUCUACGUAACUCACACAAAAUUAAUUAUCUAUUAGAAAAUUUUAUAUUAUACAGAAUUUUUGGCUGCAGUAGACUUUUUCCAAUCACUUAAAAAAUUUUAGGCAAAAAAACUAACCUAUCAGUAGCUUGCCAUAUCAUACUGAAAUUUCAAACUUAUUGUGAUUUUUUUUUUUUUUUAUAGUGGUUGGAUUUAGUUUUCUGGUCUUGAGUGUAGUUUGUCAUACUGUUCCCAGUUUGGGACUGUUGACUCUUAGAGUGUCUUGUACUGUUGGCUUUUGUCUAUAGAAUGGAUAUAUCAUAUAUCCCUUGUUGGCUUGCUGUAGGUCAAAACCGAAUUUUAUUAAUGGAAGAUUACUUAGUUGAAAAAAGAAAGAAUGAUCCGGAUUUCGGCACGUGAAGGAGCGAGCUUCAACUUGUUGUAUAAGUACCAGACUAAACACAAUCAUCCGACAUUACAAAUAAACCCGACUAGCUAUAAGAUAGGUUGAUUUAGCAAAAAAAAAAUAAACAUUCCAAUAGAUUAAUUCUAGGGUCCAAACUCAGUCUAGCCGCCUACCAUAAAUAUCAUAAUUUUAUCGGAUUGGAGGGAGCGCAACGCCAGGAUCUUCUCCGCCACUUCUUCCCAGUCUUGGUCGUUCGUGCGGCCGUCGACAGGAUGAUAAGGACCGGCUCCUUUCUUUUCCAGUCAGGAGCCUCUCUUAUCCUUCUUUGCUCGAGCUUUAUUUUAGUUUCCUUGUUCCCUAAUAUUCUUUUUCUGUUUCUUUUCCUUUUUCUUCUUUUGUAAUAAGUGGUCUCUCCACAACAAUGUAAAAUCUUAAAAGCUGGUAUGAAAUCUUAACAUUUUCGACCCAAAAAAAAAAAAAAAAAAAUCAUAAUUUUGUUUCUAAAGGAAGGAACUUAGGAUAUAAGACCAUAUCCUCAUCAAAAACAUUGAGAGCCCUUCACAUUUUUUAUUUGAGUUGUUAAUGAAUAUUUUAGAUUAAAAUAUAAAAAAAAAAUCUAAAAUNNNNNNNNNNNNNNNNNNNNNNNNNNNNNNNNNNNNNNNNNNNNNNNNNNNNNNNNNNNNNNNNNNNNNNNNNNNNNNNNNNNNNNNNNNNNNNNNNNNNGUUUUUCUUGUCUUCAAAUUUAUAGAAACUCCGAUUUGUUUGUUUUCCAAACAGCAUCUGCAUAUAUAGUAUGUCAUUUGAUUUCAUAUCUAGGAUGUAAAUUCUUCUAUUUUAGUCUAGGAUUUUAAUUUCACAUAUACUGCACCAAAAAUUAUGUAUUUAAUACAAGUUUGUCUUUGCCAUUGCUUAAUUUUAAAUAGUCAUAUAUAAAACGUGAAAUUUCAAUAACUGUCCCGUGGCAAUUGGCAUCGACAUUUAUAUAACGUCGGCCUCAUCAUGACACUUUUAUUUUCCUGUGGUUAUAAAUUGAUAGGUUGUUAAGUAUCUAUCCAAUAGAUUCCCGUUUGUCGUUUGUACAUUGUUAUGCAUGCAUGUGUCUAAACACUGACUCGUUUUUUUUUAACAAGAUUUUUCAAUAUAAAGCAAAAACAAACACUGACUCGUUGAGAUAAUAAAAUAUGUACAUCGAUUUGAAUAACUAAUCUCUCGAUUACUAAACCCAACGCUUUGCUUUGGUCCUAAUAAAGUAACUAAACCGACUAAAAUAAUUAUUCAAAUAUGUUCAGAAGAGGACUCGGAUCAAUCAUACAUCUCUUAUGAUAUAUGUGUGUAUAGUGCAUAUGGACCUAAUUAACUUGCGUUUGAAUUUUGUUAAAACUUUAUGUUUAGUUUUAUUUUUCAAUAGCAUAACAAUUACUCUUUUAAACUGAAUAUGUUAACACGUAAGAAAUUAUUUUAAGAAAUAAUUGUAAACGCAGCCGCGAAAAUAAUAUCAAAAUACAGAGUAGUAAGGACAAAGGAUGGCAAGAGCUUUGCUUCAAUCACUUGUAUUUUGUUGUGAAAUUCAGAAUUAAGCAUACAAAUGUUUUUUUUUUAAAUAAAAUCUGAGCCGAAGUUUCUAUUAAUCAANNNNNNNNNNNNNNNNNNNNNNNNNNNNNNNNNNNNNNNNNNNNNNNNNNNNNNNNNNNNNNNNNNNNNNNNNNNNNNNNNNNNNNNNNNNNNNNNNNNNNNNNNNNNNNNNNNNNNNNNNNNNNNNNNNNNNNNNNNNNNNNNNNNNNNNNNNNNNNNNNNNNNNNNNNNNNNNNNNNNNNNNNNNNNNNNNNNNNNNNNNNNNNNNNNNNNNNNNNNNNNNNNNNNNNNNNNNNNNNNNNNNNNNNNNNNNNNNNNNNNNNNNNNNNNNNNNNNNNNNNNNNNNNNNNNNNNNNNNNNNNNNNNNNNNNNNNNNNNNNNNNNNNNNNNNNNNNNNNNNNNNNNNNNNNNNNNNNNNNNNNNNNNNNNNNNNNNNNNNNNNNNNNNNNNNNNNNNNNNNNNNNNNNNNNNNNNNNNNNNNNNNNNNNNNNNNNNNNNNNNNNNNNNNNNNNNNNNNNNNNNNNNNNNNNNNNNNNNNNNNNNNNNNNNNNNNNNNNNNNNNNNNNNNNNNNNNNNNNNNNNNNNNNNNNNNNNNNNNNNNNNNNNNNNNNNNNNNNNNNNNNNNNNNNNNNNNNNNNNNNNNNNNNNNNNNNNNNNNNNNNNNNNNNNNNNNNNNNNNNNNNNNNNNNNNNNNNNNNNNNNNNNNNNNNNNNNNNNNNNNNNNNNNNNNNNNNNNNNNNNNNNNNNNNNNNNNNNNNNNNNNNNNNNNNNNNNNNNNNNNNNNNNNNNNNNNNNNNNNNNNNNNNNNNNNNNNNNNNNNNNNNNNNNNNNNNNNNNNNNNNNNNNNNNNNNNNNNNNNNNNNNNNNNNNNNNNNNNNNNNNNNNNNNNNNNNNNNNNNNNNNNNNNNNNNNNNNNNNNNNNNNNNNNNNNNNNNNNNNNNCUUCGGGGAAUUGAAUCCUUAUCCGAAAGCAACCUCCAAGCCAUACCAAACUGCUACGUCAAGCCUCUGUCUCAACGUCCAAACUUACUCUCUACCAACCACCACCACAACAAACACAACCCUCGCACCACCAACAUACCCGUCAUUGACUUAGGUGGCUUAAACACAAACGACAUAACUCUACGAGCCAAAACGCUUGAUGAGAUAUCGAAAGCGUGUAGAGAAUGGGGGUUCUUUCAAGUGGUGAACCAUGGGAUGAGUCCUCAACUCAUGGACCGAGCUAAAGAAACAUGGAGAGAGUUCUUUCAUCUUCCCAUGGAGCUCAAAAACAUGCAUGCUAAUUCGCCGAGAACUUACGAGGGAUAUGGAAGCCGACUUGGCGUAGAAAAGGGUGCUAUUCUUGACUGGAGCGAUUACUAUUAUCUUCAUUAUCAUCCCUCAUCGUUGAAGGACUACACCAAGUGGCCUUCUUCGCCUCUUCAUUGCCGGUAUAUUUUAUUCCCAUAAUUCUUCUUGCUUAGUUAUUUAUAGUAUUUAAAUUUCUUUUAUUCACGUUUGCUAAGCCUUUCCACUUAUUAAAAUUAAACUUUUUCUAAUCCUAUUUAUGUAACUUUUACUUCAAGGUGUAUCAAACCUAGCUAGGAUUUCUUUUUUUAAUAGUAAAUAAAUUUUGUUAAAUAGAAAACAAAAACCGACGUACUAGUACGACUAAUCAGUUGAUUAUUUAUUCAUAACGCAAGUAUACAUACGAAAGAUAAAUAUACUAGUUGCUUGACCGGGCUAUAUAUUUAAAUUUUUUUCAAAGUAGUCAAAAGAUAACAAAUAUAAAAUUUAAUCCACGGUUAAUUGUUUAUUUCUUUUUUUAUUUUUAUUUUUGAUCAAGAUUGUUUUUUUUCUUCUUGUUAUUGGAUUAUAUAGAGAGAUAUUGGAGGAUUAUUGCAAGGAAAUGGUGAUAUUAUGUGAGAACUUGAUGAAGAUAUUAUCGAGAAACUUGGGAUUACAAGAGGACAUACUUCAAAAUGCGUUUGGUGGUAAAGAGGAAUCAGGAGGAUGUUUAAGGGUUAAUUAUUACCCAAAAUGCCCUCAGCCGGAGUUGACUCUCGGUCUCUCUCCCCACUCCGAUCCCGGCGGAUUGACCAUUCUCUUGCCGGACGAACAAGUCGCCGGCCUUCAGGUCCGUGGAUCCGACGACGCUUGGAUCACUGUCGAACUAGCUCCUCAUGCUCUCAUCGUUAAUAUUGGUGACCAAAUUCAAGUGAGUAUUUAAUUUGGUUGUUGUCAUAUUAGUUAUUUUUUAAUAUCUAGUGAAUUUAAAACCGAAAAUCAUACUAGAAACUAUGAUAUCUAAACGUCUACGAAUUCGCCAAUCAUAAGUAAAAUCGUUUGGGAAGAAUCAAGCCUUCUAUACUAAUUACUAUCUUGGCUUUUGAUUAUUAGACUAAAAGUAUAUAUACAUGUAAUGAAAAGUUGACAAAAAGGUAUAAAUGUAAGGAAAAGAAAGUAAAUAUCACGUGGAGGGACUUCAUUUUCUUCUUCUUUUUUCCUUGUAGUUGUUAGUAAUAAAGCACGUGCAUGCAUCUAUUUUCUUCUUCUUUCGUUUUAUUUUUAUUUAAACUAAAGUUUAUGGCAAAUCAAUAUGGUAUUGGUGAAGCCACGUUGCCAUAUUCUUUAAUUCUGCAUGUGCCUCUCUAUUAAAGGGGGAAAAAAAAAACUCCAAAUAAAGAAACAGAAAAACAGAAAAAAACAAUUUCAACGACUAAGACGGGCUCACAAAUAUUCACACAUGUGUUAAACGUCCUAAAACUAAAACCGCCUACUUAGUCAAAGAAUAAAUAUCUCUUCCUUUUUUUUUUCGGUUUUGGUAUUAUAGCUAGUACGGAUAACAUUUUACUUCAGUUACUUCGUUAAACUAAUUUUUUUAAGGGCUACAAAAAUAAAUUUACCCUUUUUAAGGAUAAAAACCAUAUCCUAGUCGUUUAUAUUAGUAUUGUUAUUGUAUCAUCUGGUUUAAACCCGAUAUAUUGCAUAUUACUGAUAAAAAGAAUUCCAACGACUACCAAACAAAUAAAUUUUUUUUUAGGAUAGCUAUUCCAUCGUGAAGUCAUUUUUGUAUUCUAUAUCUCUUGCAUUAUUUCGAUUGAUAGAUUUUAUAACGAACGAUGAACAUUUUGUUAUUUUGGUUAGAUGCUGAGCAAUUCAAUAUACAAAAGCAUAGAACACAGAGUGAUCGUGAGCCCCGCAAAAGAGAGGUUGUCUUUGGCAUUCUUCUACAAUCCAAAGGGUAAUGUUCCGAUCGAGCCAUUGAAGGAGCUAGUGACAGUUGAAUCACCAGCUCUGUACAUCUCCACAACCUACGAUCAUUACCGUCAGUUCAUUCGUACGCAGGGUCCACGUAGCAAAUCUCAUAUCGACGAACUUAGAUCCCCUCGAUAGUAGAAGAACGUGCAUACAUUUUAAUUAUAAACGUUUUCUUUUUGUCUAAAUAAUGAAUUAUGCUUGUUGUCAAAAAAAAAAGAAGAAGAAUUAUGCUUCUUUUUAUCUGUCAAAUUAAGGAUUAUAAUUUAUUGUGUGUUGCUAUGCGAGUAUGUUAACAUUAUGUUGAAUAAUGAACUAUGUUUUUGUAUAAAUUAAUAAUGUAUUAUGCUUUCCUUUAAUUAAAAGAAAUCGAGAAUUUAUUCGGGUCGAAAACCAAAGGAUGAACUUAGAGCCCUUCUCAGUUGCAGCUGCUCGAACUCAAUGUACUUUCCGACUAGUUCUUGUACGCACCGGUUAAACUACCGACCCGGAAAAUGAUAUAUUGGAUUUAUAAAUAUAUAUAUAUAUAUAUAUAUUAUAUGAUUGAAAAAAGGCUUCUCAUAAAUUUGGAAUAAAAAAGACGAGAAAUUAUCGAGGACGUUUUAAAAUUUAGACACGCAAAACACGUACGUCGCGAUCAAUAAAUAAAAAAAUGAGAGCUUUGACCUCAUGCAAAUGCAGCCCACCCGUUAUAAGUUUAUAACCCUAUUUUGAUUGUUACGUACCAAUAAUAAUUGUAAAGAAGCCCUACCAUGCUAGUACUACACUCCUCUAUAAUUAAUUAACUAACUCACAGUGUUUGAUUGAUGAUUACGUUAUAGCAAUGUUCAAAAAAUCGCUAGGCGGUGGCUAGGCGGAUGAUAGGAGACUAACGCCUAGGCGAAUUAGUCAGAGACUAGACGGAGCCUAGGCGUUAGCAAAAAUUUUUGUUAAUUUUUAUAAAUUUUCAAUCUAUAUAUCAUAUUUUUAAAAAAGCUUUAAUUGUUUUCUUAAAAAUUAUUUUAUCAAAAUUUAUGUUUGAAUAAAAAAGUAAAAAAAUUUAAUAAUAAAAUUAUAGAAUAAAGUUCAACAAAGAAAAAUCAAACUAAAAAUCAUCAAAUUCUUCAAACUAAAAUAAGUUUUAAUCUAAAAACUUUAAAAAUAUAAAGCAAAGAGAAAUAUAUCUAACUUAUUCUUCAAACACAUCCAUAUAUAUCCACCACCCGCUCAUUUUCAGACUCAAAUUCAAAAUCAAUAGCUAUAUCAUUUUCAUCGUCGGAAUCGAUAUCUCCUCUAGGCUCAUCGUUGAAAUUGAAAGUUGAAACUUGAAACAGAGCACAAACAAAGUAUACAAAGAUGAAAAGACAAAUUAAGAGAAUACAAUAUAGUUAUAUAAUAUGUACAGAUAGAUAAAGAGAAGAUUAAACAAACUUGUAGAGUUCAACAAUAGAGAAUAAUGAUCGCCUCUUGUAGUUUAUGAAAGUAAAGUAGCGGGGAGGAACGAGGAUGAUUAUUUUAAGUUAUUAACCAUAAUCCAUGUUUCAAAUCUUUUUUUUAUAUCUUUUCUGUAAAUUGAUAUUGGUUUACUAUCUAAAACCGUAAAAUUUGACUGAAAAAAGGAUAAAAAUAAUGAAUCUAAUUUGGCCGAUUUUACCGAUUUGAUCUGAUUUUUCCGAUUUUCUUCAAUUUGGUCUGAUUUUUUACUAAACCGGAUUUGCUUUACUGAUUUUAUGAAAAAUCGGAUCGGCUAACCCCAACUUGAGGCGGCCGCCUAGUCGCCGACUAGGCCGAUUUUUUGACCAUUGCGUUAUAGUAAGUUACGUGGCCUUUUUCUAAUAUAUCAUUAGUUGUAGUCUAUAGUGGUUUUGAUUGGAAAUAUAGUUGGCGGCUAGUGGCUACGAGUCUACGACCAGUGUUUUGUUCACUGCUGUUUGUGUGUAAAUAAUCCACCAAGCGACGAAGGCAAAAAAAGAGACAAAUAAUAGCCACGGAAAAACAUGUAAGGUAGUAGUUCUUUUUUUGUUUUUUUUUCUACAACUGUAAAUAUCAUUAAUUUAAUGAAAGUUAGAUUUUACAGUAAGCAUAAUCUUUUUUUUUUUGGUCGAACAAUAAACAUAAUCUAAGAGCUGCACUUCCUUGGCAAAAAUAAGUAAAGUAAAGAAGUAUUUGUUUCGGCUGUACCGUUAUAGUCGUUUAUCGUUACUGUGUCAAACCAAACCACUUCUAUGAUCUAUCAGUUCUAUAUUACCUUUUUUUUUACCGUUUUCCCAAAGCUUAUUUGAUUGACCGGAUUCAUUUAAGGAAAAAGAAAGGCAGCUAUAUUAUUAAACCUUAAAAUUUUCAAACACUCGCUACAAAAUUGAUGAUCAUCUUCAGCUUUGAAAUGACGCUUCGGCUUCAAAAAUAUUGCUUUUUUGAAAACAAUAGUUGCAUUUGCAAAGGUUUGGAUCAUCUCUUACUAAACCUCAAUUCGUUCAUCAAUUUUUGUUGAAGGUGGGAAGAAAUCUACAAUCACCUGAUUCGUAUUGGUGGAGAAUUUUGUAUCCGACGACGAAUAAAUAUAAUUUUGUUUUAAUCUUUUGCUCUCUCAGGUUUCCCAACUUUUUUUUGGUUUGAUUUUAGAUUAUGGGGUUUUCAUAGAAUUUAAUGAGAGAAGUUCAUAAAAAUUUAAUAAUAUUAUUUUUUGAAUUUCAGAAAGAUGAAGAAAUUAAAACACAAUUUUCGGUCAAUCAUACGCUGGUGAAGAGUCGGUUUCUUUAGACUUUUUAGGAAGAAUUGGUUCAUCGAAAAUGAUUAUUUUUUUUAAAUCGUUUUGGCCUAUUAAACUGGGCCAUGAACCCCAUCUAAUCUCUUGAUAGAUAUGCUUUAAGUAGCCCAAUAACACGAGUUUAGUAAAGACCCAAAUUUAAAAACCUAAAAGUGCCCCAAAUGGAGAUAAAAGCUGAAAAGUCGAAUCAAAUUUGGUUGAUCCUGACGGUUACGAUUCCACAGAUGCAACCAGCUAGGGUUUCCAGGUGGAGAGCUUCGUCUUAGCCGCAUCAGUUAGUUGAGAUAGCUAGAGAGUAACAGAGCUGUGCCUUGUGCUAGGGUUUAUAAGAUUGAUAUUUGAUAACGAGCAUCAUAGCCUCUGAUAUAUCUCUCUCGAAAUGGCGGGUUUCUCUGUUGACGGAAGUGGGUUGAACAACGGUGCUUCGAAGAAGAGGCAACGUCUUACGUUGGCUUUGACGACGAGGAAAUCUACCGGUGAUACUGAGGAGAAGAAGAACCGCACGGCGACGCUGCUUGAUCUGGAUGUUAUCGACUGUCCCGUUUGCUUUAAUACUCUGACCAUUCCCAUUUAUCAGGUUAUUUUUCUCAUAUGUAUCUACCUCAAAUGCAUUUAUCCUCUCACUCAUAAUGGUAAUUCAAUGUUUUCUGAAUGUUACAUUGUUGAUUGAUGAACCAGAGUGUUUUUUAUUUAUUUUUUAUAGCUAGAAUUUCACAGCCUUUGAUAUGCUAACAAGAGGAAAAUAUUGCAUGAAAUGGAUGAUGAAAAAGAAAAAAACGUGUUGAUUCUGAGGAACUGAGUAUACAUAACCUGAAAAUUGUAAAAUACUAUGUGGAGUAAAAUUUAGGGUUAUAUCAACAUACUUAAUGGAUGAUUGUGCAUUCUAUGAAUAUAUCAUAUUAACCAUCAGUUGAGAUUUUUUUGUUUUGUUGUGAGCUUGCAUUUUGGCUUAUUCAAUUCACCUUACAGUUUAUCAUUUUCAAUAUUUUCUUGCUCAUGUUAUGCUCGAUCCGAAUGUACUGAAAGUUAAUAAAUAUGUACAAGCCAGGUAUAUCAUUGACGUGUCUCUUUAAUUAUAUUUCAUGAAGUCUUUGUUUUAAAAAAAAAAUAUUUGAUCUCUUUUGGCAUUCAGUGCGAUAAUGGUCAUGUAAUAUGCUAUACUUGCCAUAAAAAGUUGAGGAAGAAAUGUGCAACAUGUUCUUUACACAUUGGUUCCCGCAAUAGAGCUAUGGAGCAGGUUCUUCAACACCUUAGAGUUCCAUGUCCAAAUUCAGAAUUUGGAUGCCCCAAGAAUGUCACGUAUGAUGAAAGAUCAAGACAUUUACAGCAGUGCGAUUUCACACAAGGUCCUUGCCCUUUUAACCGAUGCAACUUUACCGGCUCUUACGAGGAUAUAUAUGUACACACCAAUGCUGAACACCUCAAGUCCUUGGACAUGUUUGAAUGUGGAAAUCCAGUGUUUAUACACCCCGAAAGUGGUGAGAGGGUUGUUCUCAAGGAACAGACUACAGAAGGAGGAAGAAAACUUGUGGUUGUGGAGUGUUUCACCACGCCACAAGGUCGAAUAAUCUAUGCUUACUGUAUUGGACCUAUGGUCCCAAGAACACAUGAGUUCUCAUACAGCUUAAAGUUGUAUUCAUCAAACGGUGAUCGCUUGUGUUUUGAAUCAAGUCUGAAACAAGUUCGUCAAGUGAGCGGUGAACAACCAGAUGAGCAUUUUAUGUUUGUUCCUUCACACAUGUGCCCUGAUUACAAGUUGCAUAUAUGCAUCAACCGGAAGACUUAUUAGGAUCAUAAAGAAGCGACUACAUCAUCUCUUAUCUACCCGAUGUUCUUAAUUUAAUAGCCAUAUGUUUGAAAAAAGGGUUCUUGACUGUUUAAACUAUUUCUUUUUGGAAAUUUUCACAAUCGGAUAUUCUAAUGCAUUCUCCGUUCUUGUUUUUUUUUUGGUAUAUAAAAAAUGAAAUGUUUUGGUAUAAGUUGUUUGUACUGGACGUAUCACAGAUGAUGAAAUGAAAUGUUUUACAAGCCCAGUAGCUAAGUAGCUCAAUAAAUACAUGGAGCGGGUUCUUGAACUACUUAGAGUUCCAUGUCUUAGUGGUAUUAAAGGUGUGAAUUUGAUCCAAAUAGAGAAACUUGAAACUAUUCAAGUGGUAAAUUUAAAAAGGUAAAUUGAUUCAACAGAAACAAAAUCACAAAAAUAAGUUGUGCUUUGAAUUCUGUUAAUUGUUAUUAAAAACCGUUGGUGUGUCUGCGACCGCGACUGCUCUAUACCAAACCAAAUGAUAUAUUUAAUAAGCUUUAGAGAUAAGAUAAACACGUAUUUCUUCUAUAUCACAUGAUAAAUAUAUUGUCGAUUUGUGAUUAGAGAGAAAGCGACUGAGCAUUUAAAGUUGCAAGCAUGUGCUCGUGUGUUCGUGUGCUCGUGUGUUCGUGUGCUCUUAUGUCUCUACUUCAUAAUAGCAAUGUAUGAAUCAAAUUAACUUUGAGCAAACAAGAUAAAAAACAAAAAAAAUGCGCCUCGUGAGUUGUUUGAAUUAGUCAAAUUUGACUGUGGAACCCUUGGAAGAUUAGUGCCAUAUAAUUUGUUGAUAAAUCAAAUAUCUCAAGCUGGUUUAAUCUUGUUCCCUUGAAUUGAACCAAAACCCGAAAUUAUGUAAUGGUUUGUAAAGAAUUGAACCGAGUCUGAAUCAAACCAAACCGGAAUAAAGUGUACAUGGAUGGAGAAAAGGACGCAAAGAAAAUCAUAUACAAAUAAACGAAUGAUAGAAGAAGCGUCUUCGAACAGUUUGUAAAUCUGUAUUUUCCUAUUGUCUCUAUUUGCCUUUUUAACUCCCACUCCCAUUUUCCUGGCGCGUGCUUUGUUCUUUCCAACUUCUCUUCCUAUUUGAAGAAUAAAAUGUUCCAAUUAAAAUUUAUAAGUGGAUUUGUGUGGACUGAGCAGCUGACAAAUUUGGUUAUAUAAAGAAAAGUAUAUGAAUUGUUAAUUAUUUUAAGACUUUAGAGUAUUCACUGUAUUUUUGAAACACUGAAUUGUCUUUCUUGCAAAAUUGGACGUACCUUCUAAAACAUAUCUUUCAUUUGUAAUUUUGUAUGGUUACAUGAGCAUAUUGGUUUUUUUUUUUUUUUUUUUGAACAUCUUUUUUUUUUUUGAACAUCACAUGAGCAUAUUGGUUACAACCCAUUCCAGUAAUAUGAAGUCGGUUUUGGGUUUAAAAGCAGUGGUAGAAAAUUGUCACUAUAGUAUUCUAAACCAUUCAUCUAGUUAUAUAAUAUGUAUCAUUAACAAAAAUAUUAAUAUUUUUAAAAGUAUCUAUGAUAUACAUUAAACGAUUUAAGUGUCGAAAAUCUGUCUAAUUUUGUCUACUUAAUCUAUCAAAGACUCAUAGUUAAAUCCACGAUUUGUUACAUUAAUUCUUCUUUUCUUUUAUUACAUAUGCAUUCUAACAAAUUUGAAUCCAGAUUAUAAUAAAUAUUUAUUUAACGAAAUCGUACUAUUUUAUUUCAUAAUUAACACCAAGUGGGCGCGUGGAUCGAAUCAUAAAUGUCAUUUUCAAAGGACUUCAUCGAACCAUCGCCACCAUAGAACACAACCCUCUCUCUCUAAUUAAAUUGAAAAAUUAAAUUAAAAUAGCAUUUGAGAGAGAAAAUCAGAAAACAAAGCAAAAGAAGAAGAAGAAAGAAGAAACCCAAAAAACUUUUUGAUUGCUUCCUAUUCUUCUUCAGGUCUGUCUCUCACCUUUUGCAGAUUCCAACGUCCGACGUGGUUUCGCCGGCGUCCGCGUCAAUUGGUUCCACCGAGUCAUGGCCGAGUUGACUCAGGCCGAUGUUGUUUACUCGCCUCGGUCUCUUCAAGUGUGGAAGACUUUGGUGAACUGGCUCGCGUUUUUCUAUCAGAUCUUCCUUCAGAUCCUUCGUGCCGUCGGUUACCAUCCUCUUCUCUCCUCCUCUGCUAAAGCCUCCGCCGAUGGUUUCAAACCCUUACCGGCCAUCGAGUUACUCGACAGGGCGGUGGAAUCUCCCACCACCGUAGAAUUGGAAAUCGCCUCCUCCACGACCUCUUGCGCCCAAGGCGAACGCAGCCGCUUCCAGAGACUCAAGGUUUGUUUUGAAUUCUCGUUUUCUUCUUCUUCUGCUUCUUCUUAUCCAUUGGUCAAAGUCUUCUGGAGUUAGUUUGAUUUUGACAUUUAUGCUUUAAGAAAUUUGCUCCGUGGAAUUCAGAAUCUAUGAACUCUUAUUGACUAAGAGUUACGAGGCUCAAAAUUUGGACUAUGUUAGUAUGAUACACAACCAUUGUGUUCCAUUUUCAAAUUUUGAGACGCCAUAGUUCUUCUACGGCCGGACGUCAUCGUUCAUAAGUAGAUGAAAUCUGUUUGACUUGGGCACGCCUGAUGUAGUUAAGAAGUUGUAAACGUUGUGCUAGUCUAAGAGUUUGUUUUAUGAAUGGUUUCAGUAGGAAAGUGUAGACUUGAAUUGGACUUUCAUAUGUUUUCUUGUGAUACUCAAGUCUAUAGUUUAAGCUCACAGAUUUAUGCAUAUUAUAUGUUGAUGGAAUUACUUUUGUAGAUGAGAUAAGUGCUUUUUCUCCAUUCUCUAUAUCCUGACAUGAGUAUUAAUCAUAUUUGCAAGCCUUGUUGAAAGUAAAGAGUAUGGGUUAAUGGAUCAGACUUCUCCGAAUUAUAUUCUUUUCAAUAUUGCUUAACUUUCUGAUAUAGUUAGGCCAUCUGUUCUUGUACUAUUCGUACAUCGAUAUCUCUACUUAUAUUUGACUUGUGAAACAUUUAUACCUGUUGAAAGCUUUUCUCUAAGGACCUUUAAGUUCUUAGUUAGGUGUAUCCUCUGGCAAAGUCUGGAAAGCUUGCUUUGUAGUUAGUGGUAGUAUUAAGAGUAGUCUGAUAACUGAAGAUGUCUUUGCAGGUAGUUCUCGACUUGGACGAGACGUUGGUGUGUGCAUAUGAGACGUCUAGUCUACCUGCUGCUUUACGCAAUCAAGCCAUUGACGCCGGAUUAAAGUGGUUCGAGCUGGAGUGCGUGUCAUCAGACAAGGUUUCUUCCACAACAUUUUCUCGAGUUAAUAAAAUUCCCUGUUGAUUUGUCCGUUUUAUGACGCGGUUCCCUCUUGUGUCUGAAGGAAUAUGAUGGGAAACCUAAGAUCAAUUACGUCACGGUGUUUGAGCGUCCAGGAUUGCACGAGUUCUUAGAGCAACUUAGCCAAUUUGCAGAUCUUGUACUGUUUACUGCUGGUCUUGAAGGUCUCUUAAUUUACUUGUCAGUUUUAUCCUCUGUUCCCAAAUCCAUGCUCAAAUUUUGUUAUCCUAACAUUCAUGUUUCCCACCUGCAGGAUAUGCUAGACCGCUUGUGGACAGAAUAGAUACCAGGAAAGUACUCAGCAACCGACUUUAUCGACCUUCAACAGUCAGCACGUAAGUUAUCAUAUAUUUCGGAUACUCUGUUUUAUCACUUAGAAAUUCGAUUUUGUUGUAGGUUAUUGAGAUUUUGAUACAUUUGUGUGCUAUUCGUAAUCAGGCAAUACAGAGAUCACGUGAAGGAUUUGCUGAGCACAUCAAAAAAUAUGUGUAGGACAGUAAUCGUUGACAACAAUCCUUUCAGCUUUUUAUUGCAACCAUCAAAUGGGAUUCCAUGUAUUGCGUUUUCCGCGGGGCAACCAAAUGACACUCAGGUCUCUAUAAUUCAUUACUCUUCUCAUACAUUUCUUAACCCUUCAGGUUAUUAUUACUUUUGAGAACUAAUCGAAAUUAUCAAACGUGAAGCUUUUGGACGUUAUUCUUCCACUUCUGAAGCAACUUUCUGAGGAAGAUGAUGUAAGGCCGACACUUUAUGAUCGGUUCCGCAUGCCUGAAUGGUUUGAGAAGCAAGGCAUACCACCGUCGUGCUGGAAUACUUAACCGGGUUAAGUGGAAAGUAAUGGCUAAAACCAAAAUAUUAGAAAUCUCUGGUCCUCACAAAAAAGACCAAGGACUUGUGUUUGGUACAGUAGUUCCAGUAAUGAAAAACCUGAGGAGAAGGAAGGUACAGAGAUUACCAUUCGUAUUGUUUAUAAUCUAUGGUAGAUUCCUUUUAAAAGAUCAAAUUUGUUACAUAUUUAUGGUUUCAUGUAAUAGCUUCCUCUGUAAUUUUGUUAAAGAUCAUUCAUUAUUUUUUCUUUUUCGGGUUGGUUCGGUUUGUAUAUACCGAGUCAUGGAUCAAACCGAAGUAGAAACUGGGUCUGGUAUAAUCUAAAGGGAUUCAGGAAUGUGAGUAACUGGGAUUCAUGCAUUACUGAUUAGUGAUUACACAUUUGGAAGAUAUUCGAAAAAAAAAUCAAUUAUUAUUGUAUGGUUCAAAUCUCUUAGUCGCUAACCACGAAUCAUAGAGUUGUUACUUGUAAUUCUUUGGCCAAUACUGCCUAAUUUUUUUGUAACUAGAAUAUAAAUUUACAGAUAAUAAUAUAUUAUCAUUAUAGGAAAUUUAUUAUGCUUGAUAUGAGAUCAAUUUCCAUUCUAAUCUAAUUGCUUAUUAUUUUUGAAUAAAUAACUCAACCCCGCAUAAUGUUAGACCAUGAAGAUUCAAUUUACUAUAUAAUAUACUUAAAUCUUCAAAAUAUUGCAUCCGCAAUCUUAGAAAAACGGCAAUGAUUCUCUUAUAUGGUGUAUAUUUACUAUUUUUUUCACAGGAUCCUGCACUAAAGGUAUAUUUGUCUUAGAUCGAAAUUCUGAAUUGAGUUGAAAGUCAUGUCAGGAUCCAGCGAAAAGCAUUUUGAAAAAGAUUGUCAAUGUUCCUAAUCUUACCUAGCAAACAUUAUUACUCCCUCUCUCCUAAAUAAUAAAAUAUUAAUGUUUGUUGAACACAUUUUACAGGUCGAAAGAGUUCGUGAAUUAUAUUACAAGACCUGUCAUGUUUCUUUUUCGUAUAAUUAAAUGAACUUGGCAACUAUUCUUUUAUUGUGUGGUCGGCCUUGUUAUGUUUGUUGUUAAAAAAAGUAUAUCGUUUUGAGCUGUGCAUAGACUUCUAAGGCUUCUUCACAUCUUAAUUAAGCCUAACUACUCCCAUACUUUUUUUUCUUUUAAUUUGCUGAUUACUUUAUUUUAUUUUACAGUAUGUUAUUUGAAUUUCCGCUGGAAACCAAUAUCAAUGGAAUAGCGCGUGAUGGGAUUUCGUUAUUGCAUUGAGAGAUACAUAAUUACAUAUACAUUAGUUUGAUAAAAUGUGAGGUUAAAAAAAGUAUAUGCCCCCGGAAAUAAUCAGAUGUUUCAUUUUUUUUCUACGUUUAGGAAAUUUAUUUCUUCUAGUUUAUUAGUAUCUCUUUUGAGUUUUAGUUUAGUGUCGAUAUAAUUUUUCGAACGCCUAUCCAAGAUUUGUGGACUAGUCUUGCAUGCAUUUUCUUAGAAAAAUAAUAACACAAAAUUCAUUAAUGUAACUUUGCUUUUAUCUAUUAUAUAAAGAUUCAGUUGAGUCUCACAAACUUGACACAUCAGCACUCAUUUGAAUGACACAUCAGCUCAUUUAUUUGUUAUUUAAAAACUAUAGUGAAACUCUAAUUAAUUUAAAUUAAUUACUUUUAUAUUCAUUUUUCUGUGCACUGAUUUAUUUACCAUCAUGGGCCUCAUGGCUUUUUGACUCCCAUUUUUGAUGCUUCCUAUUCUAUGCUUCAAACGUUGUCUUAAAUAUUGGUCACUCAUGUUUCAACGCAUAAAAAAUAAUCAGCAAAUAUAGAAGAGAAGACAUGGAAAGAAGUAAAUAUUACCUAAGAUUUUUUAAUAAAUCUCUAAUCUACAGCUUCCAUGUUGUAACUUAUGCAAAUUUCUAUAUAGAAGCUUACGAAAGUGAAUGUUGUUCACAAAUCUAUGGUCUAAGAUUUAUUUCUUGGCCAUGGGCAGAGACAUCUACAUUUAAUACCAUCGUUUGUGUUCAUUUAAAGGAAAAGAAGAAUUUUGCUUUAAAAAAGAAGAUUUUGUAUGAUGGUUUCGAGAAUUCUGUGAAGAGUAAAUAGCAAGACAAAAACUAUAAUAAUAAUUUCUAAAAUAAUAAUAAUUCGGCGACGAAGCUAUAAUAAUAAUUUCUAAAAUUUUUAAGUUAAGCUGGUGUAAGUUAUCUAUUUUAUUUAUUUUUGUUUUAGAAAAAAUUUUAAGCGAGGAAAAUAAUACUCUGAAAGACCUAUUACAUCCAUUAGUAAAUUUUUUAAUAUCUAUGUUUUUACAAGAAAUAAUAAAAAUCUCGUCUCAAUGAAUUAUAAUUUAUAUCAUUUUAUGUGCAUGAAAUGUAGCUUGUUUUAUCUCCAUCAGAUCUUGGAGUUGGAGUAUUGGUUCUCCCAAGUACUGCAAUAAAAAGCCACUGGAGCGGCAAAAGCCAAAUCCGAUGGUGAAAAUGGAGAAAGACGUAUUUGGUAAACUUUUACGAUAGCCGGUCAUGCUUAUCUAAAGUUCCAAACUCUACCUGUGAUGCAAAAGAUAAUAUAUAGUAUGAAAUAUCACAGAUUUUCAUGCUAUAUUCAUUUCCUAACUUUUCUAAUUUUAGUGGAGAUUGUGACGGUCUUUGCCAAUAAGAAUAGGAAAAUUUUAUGGAAUAAAGUUAUCCAAUUAUUUUGAGAAUAUACCUCUUAGGUUCCUAAUCAUAAUAUUUAGUAUUUGCUGGAUUCUCAUAUCUUUGUUUAUGAUGUUCAAGAUAAUUUUCCACGUUUAAUUGAAGACAACGUUUUGUUAGUAGAGAAAAUUUCUGAUAAGAUUUCGUAAAACCAAAGAAAAAAUCGAGAAAAAAACUAAUUAAAAAAAAUCAUUUAAAAAAAAUAAGUUAACAACUAAUCUCUCUAAAUAUAUAUAUGACCAGUCCAAAAAAACCAAAAAUUUAAAUUUUUUUUUAAAAUCACCAAAAAUCUAAAUUAAAUUUUAGUUUUUUUUUUGUUUUUGAUCGAUAGUCUAGAUACAUAAAAUGGUGUGAUUACCUAAAACGAAAAUAUCGAGUUUAUGUAAAUAAUAAUUUGUAGGCGGACACAAGCGCUUCUUGCUAGAAUAUUUGCCUUUGAAUUCUUCAGACGUGAGAUGUGUGAUAUAGUGAAAGAAUUGUAAACUGAAAUUUAAGGAUAAAACUAAACUUCAGCUUUAAACAUUAUAAAAAUUUUAAAAAGAAAACCCACGCAUAUGCGUGGGUACUCAUUAAAAGGAACGUGAUGCGUGAUUAUUGACAUGAAAACAAUAUAAGGGGAUGGUUUGACAAUUUUGAACAAUAAAUUGAUUAAUUACCUUAAGUCCCCUAAGGCCCUAACUACUAUGUAGUACGGUUUGACAUUAUUUGUCGCAUAUGUUCCUUUUUUGUUGGUGUUAAAAUAAAAAUGUUCCUUUUUGGAAUUGGACUAUUGCAACGAAUACCAGCACUCAUAAUUAUAUCUAAACAAGAGAGUUUAUGAAAGCUGUAGCCUAUAUGAAUCACACAGUGCGGUUGAAACACAUUUAUAAAAUAUAAUUUUUUAAAAAAAAAAAGAAAGAAAAGAUAUUCGAGGACGUGAAAGUUCAUGCAAAAGUAUAUAUGUGUGUGAACACUUUUCUUGAUAAAAAAAGCUAUGUGUGUGCAUUUAUGAUAAGUACCUUAGACAGAAUUGAAGAAUUGAAUUUAUACAAGUAAAAACUUAUUAAUGAUGGUUCUGUGGAGAAAAUCAUUGAGGGAAAAUGUGGAAAGAUUGCAGAAAAUGCAGAGAAGGCUAGUCUCCAUCUAAUAUCUAUUUUGGGUUUUAGCUUUGACUAACUUUUUUUUUGGUAAGGUGCGAACAACUGACCAGUAGUUUGAGAUAAAUUUCCCCCGUCCAAAACUUCCUGCAAACUGGAUAGAACAAUCUAUCUUACUUGAUAUUAAGGUCGUUGUGAAUAAAUGGUUUUUUCUUAUAGAGUGAACAUUUUAAUUAGUUUCGCGCAGAAUACAAACAAACAAGAAGAACAACGAAUAAGAUGAAGUAGAGAAGUUUUUUUUUUUUUUUUUAUUCAAAGAAGUAGACAAGCUUUUUUUCUUUUUUUUUUGUUUUGUUUUGUUCAAAGAAGUAGAGAAGCUUAAGUUUUUAAAAA
rnacentral:lncRNA from 1 species